rnacentral:lncRNA from 1 species
CCGAACAGAUACAAGUUUUCAGUGGAAAACAGUUUUCGCAGAUUGCUUCUUUCUGUUAGUAGAUCCAAAUUGUCGAUAGCCGUGAAAACUUUUGUAGACGUGCUUCGUUCUGCUAUUACUAAAUCCUAAUUGUCAAUAGUCAUGAAGUUUCUUGGGUCAUUAUGAGUCAGGUGAUAUUCAGUACUCCUCCGCGCUACUCGCUUACAAGUUUGCACUAGAGUAUUGGUGUAUAUAUGAUGCUGGAAUUGAUUUGUGUUCUCUUUGUAAUACCCUAUUGGAAGAAAAUGCUUCCAUGAGACAUUAAUCUCGUGAAAUUACUGCCGUCGGUUUGCGUUCUUGUAUGUUUUAUGCACGGUAGUAAUGUUCUGCAGGUAGGUUAUGCAUGUGUUGCCAUUUUGAAUAUCCUUGUGGUUAUCUACUACCAUUGUGGUCGUUGUAUGUUGCCUCUACCUGCUGGCAUGCUUGUAUUGUAGUGGCUGCUAAACUUCAUUACCUUUUUUAAACAUUAUGAUGGUUGGCAGUAGGACAAAUUUGCAAUCUUGUUGGAUAUUUGGUAAAUAAAUUUGAGUUUCACGAGUGGAAGAAGGAGGAGCCUAAGGGCAAGCCACUUACGCAGGUUUGGUUGAGGUUUAUGGGGGAUCCUUCUAAGCCUUUGCAGGAUGCUUGAGUUGUGGCCAGUAUGGGUAUUAUGGUUGGGAAAACGGAAAAAGUGGAUAUGGCUUUUACUCGUGCUCAUGGAGUGGCUCGGCUUUUAGUGAGCAUUCUGGAUAUUGAGUUCGUUCCUAAUGUGGUCAACUGGACCAUAGGGGAGAGGUUUUUCCACUUGAGAUCGAGUUUGAGGACACUGAUUUGUUUGCUGAGGCGGUUAAUGGGAAUGAUGUAGAUAUGCACGAGGGUGAUGACAGUGCGGGAGCCAAGGAGGCACCGACUGAUGAGGCUACGCGAGAGGGGUCUAACGGUUCUGGCCCUAAUGCUCAGUUGCCCAGGGAUGGGACCGGGGUUGAGCCGGCACCCUCACCAUCGGUGCCUAUGACUUCACUACAAUUUGGGUCCUUCGAGCCAGCCUCUACCCCUCCCAGACUUUGGAGUGACCGGGUAGAUUCUGAUGAUGUGUUUGAACAUUCGCUCCCUAUGUUGGAUUUCGAGGGUGCUGACGGUUCCUUCGCUGGACGGUUGGUGAGAGCAUCGUCGGUGAGGACUUUGGUUGGAGUUGGGGAGGUGGAGCCUAUGGUUGCUUCUAUUUCCCUCGCUUCACCUGUGGUCGUGGUUCCGGAGAUGAUGCCUGCGUCCGAGUUGGGACUCGGGGGACGGGGGUCGGGGCAGGUAGCUUCGACGUCUCCCCUCCUCAUCCCGUCACCGGCGACGCCGGUCUCGGGGGUGUCGGCUGGUGCUGGGAGAGGUGGUCCGAGGCAGGCGGCCUCGGCUAUCCCUUCUCCGGUCCUGGCGGUGGCGCCCACGCUGCCAGCGGCGCUAGGGGGAGGAUCUAGGGCAGGAGGCCCUGGCCUCUCCCUCUUCUUCGGCGGUCAGGAGGACCGUGUCUCCGAUGACAUCGGUGCUCCACUCUGCGCCGAGGGUGGGGCGGGAGGAGGGCUCGGGCAGGCGGCCCCCGCCCUCUUCUCUCCCGGAUUGCCCGCGGCCCAGGGUCUCGGGGUGGGUCACCUGUCCGAGGGGUAUGGGAGCCCUCAGCCGCCUCCUCUGGUAACCUUGGCUGGCCCUUUGCGGGAUUCAGCGUGAGGCUUUACUAGGGAGGAGGUCGUUGCUUUUGGUGGGAUCCCUGAUCCGAUCUCGACAGGGAGAUGGAUGAGUGCUCACAUUUAGGAGCUUCCGGAGGUUGAUGACAUGCAGCAGAGGUGCGCUAUGAGGGCGGCCAAGCUUCAUGAUGCUGAGCUCUCUACUGGUAUGUCCAUCAACAUAUCCAAUUCUUUAUUGCAUUUUUCUAAUGAGGAGAUUAUUAAUAAUGCAAACCAAUUAGGAGUUUCACUAGGAGCUAAUGAUAGUGAAAUUUCCAUUCGGUGAAUGAUCUUUUAGACUUGGAGGCGGAGCGUGCCUUAGAGACUAUUCAUAAUCUCGCAGCGGUAAAACCCAUGAAUGAUGAUGAGAUUGAUGCGUUAGGGGUUAGAGUGCUCGAUAAUCUGUGUGCGGAUCUAGCACCAUCCAACCAUGAGUCUGAGGAUGAUGAUGUGCCCCUCGAUAAUGAUGUUGUUAGUACCGCUGAGCCUAGUUAUGAGGACCGGGCGACAGAACCUAGUAAACCAAAGCGCAAGUGGAAACGGAAGAUUUAUCCUGAUUAUGCAGUUCGUAGGAGUGCUAGGAUUCGAACUACCAAAAAAUUCCAUGAUGAAUUAUGAAAGGAAUCUUUUGGAAUAGCAGAGGUCUGAAAGACUUGGCUAAAAGAAGGUUUCUUGCUGAGGCAUCUCUGGAGCAUCGUUUAGAUUUUAUUGCUCUAUCGGAAACUGGUCGAGAUAACUUUGCGCCCCAUCUUCUUUCCUCUCUUGUGGGUGGUGUUGAUUUCGAUUGGCAUUGCCUCCCUCCACGAGGAAGAUCGGGUGGUAUCUUGCUAGGUGUGAGAUGCGAUUCGCUUGAAGUCCGAAGUGUAGUGAUGGGCGACUUCGCGGUUAAGUUUCGAGUCAGGUCUAAAGUUGAUGGGUUCAACUGGGCUUUGGUGGCGGUUUAUGGUGCCGCACAGCCCGAGCUUAAACCAGAGUUUCUGGCAGACCUUGUUCAAAUCUGUGGGUCGGAGCAGCUUCCAAUUUUAGUUGGGGGUGAUUUCAAUAUCAUUAGGAGGAGAGAGGAGAAGAAUAAUGAUAACUUUGACGGCAGAUGGUCGUUUAUGUUCAAUACCAUUAUUGAAAGCUUGGAUCUAAGGGAGAUAGAGCUUUCUGGUAGAAAGUUUACCUGGGCCAAUGCGAUGCCAAACCCGACUUUCGAAAAGCUUGAUCGAGUUCUUGCGAGCGUGGAGUGGGAACAGAAGUUCCCUCUUGUAACAGUUCAAGCACUCUCGCGUGGAAUAUCCGAUCACACACCCUUGUUCGUGGACUCAGGGGAGCCGAACCAUGUGGGUAAUAAAAACACCUUUUCUUUUGAGAUGGCCUGGUUCGAACGCGAAGGUUUCUUGGACCUGAUUGCCAGGGAAUGGGCUAAGGGUGCGGGAGGGAGGACUUCGGUCGAGCGAUGGCAGAAUAAGAUUAGGCGUUUGAGAUGCUUCUUAUGGGGUUGGGCUAAACACCUAAGUGGGGUGUAUAAGAUUGAAAGGGAUAGGCUCCUUUCUCUUAUACAGGCCCUAGACAUAAAGGCCGAAUCCACGUUUUUGCUGCCAGCUGGGCUUCAGAUUAAAACUGAAGCGGAGAAGAGGCUGAAAGAACUUCUCCGCGAAGAAGAAUUAAAGUGGGCACUGCGGGCUAAGGUCCGCAAAGUGGUCCAAGGGGAUGCGAAUACUCAAUUCUUUCACUUGAUUGCUAAUGGUAAGCACAGAAAGAAGAGGAUUUUUCAACUUGAACAAGAUGAGGGCACUAUCUUAGGACAGGACAACCUAAAAACAUAUAUAACCGACUAUUAUAGGCAGUUAUUUGGACCUCCGGAGGAUAGUUGUGUGUCCCUCGAUGAGUCUAGAACUGAGGAUGUGCCUCAACUAUCGGCUGCUGAUAAUGAUAUUUUGGUUGCCCCAUUCUCAGAGAAGGAGGUGUUUGAUGCUAUUGCACAGAUGAAAAACAAUAAGGCUUCUCGGCCGGAUGGAUUCCCGGUCGAGUUUUACAAAAAGUGCUGGCACAUUACUAAGGGGGAUUUGUUACCUAUGUUUCAUGACCUGUUCUCUGGACGGCUUCACUUAUUUCACUUGAAUUUUGGAACUAUCACACUGCUUCCUAAGAAAACGGAUGUUGUGAGAAUUGAGCAGUUCAGGCCGAUCUGCCUUCUCAAUGUUAGUUUCAAAAUCUUCACCAAGGUUGGGACUAAUAGGCUCACACAGAUUGCGCAUUCUGUGGUGCAGCAAUCCCAAACUGCUUUCAUGCCGGACAGAAACAUCCUUGAAGGGGUGGUCGUCCUUCAUGAAACGCUCCAUGAAAUCCAUUCGAAAAAAUUAGAUGGCGUAAUUUUUAAGGUGGAUUUCGAGAAAGCGUACGACAAGGUCAAAUGGCCAUUCCUCCAACAGGCAUUGUGUAUGAAAGGUUUCGAUGAAGCCUGGCGUCGCCAGGUUGAAUCAUUUACGCAAAAAGGGAGUGUGGGGAGUAAAGUGAAUGACGAUAUUGGUCAUUACUUCCAGACACAUUGUCACAUCCCUAGUUCUGGUAUGGUCCUAGGCUUGCUUUAUGCAUCAUGUUUAAAUUUCAAAUGAAAUUGAAAUGGGGAAGUUGCAAACCCUAGCACCAAAGUUUUUUCCAAUAGGUUCAACUUUAAAAUGGAUUUUCAAUGAAACCAAAAUGCUCUCCAAAAAUGUUCAUGAUUUUGGAUAAUGUUGGGAACAACAACCAGAGGUGAUGCACAUUUUUGCUAUACAUUCUGGAUUUUUGAAUCAAUGCAUAAAUAUUUGAUUUGGAGCUGUUUAAAUUAUAUAAAUAUUUUAAUGGCUCCAAAAAUGUUGGGAAUUGGUGAGGGCCUCUAGAAUAUUAUAUCUAGAUGCCACAAAUAUUUUCAGCAUUUAUGGAAGUGUUUUAACAUUUCUUUUGGAUAGAGAACAAAUGUCAGAAAUAGAAAAAGAAAAUAGGAAAAGGAAAAGGCUUACCUGUCCUUACCUGGAAGCCCAGCCGGCCUGGCACUGUUGGCCCAGCCCACCAGGGGCAAGGUUGUCUUCAAUCUUGUGCCCACUGGCAGCCAGCGCACGCAGCCGACCGCGCCACCUCCUGCUUCGCCGUGUCGCGCUCCCCGUCAACCAAAUCCCGCGCCUGGAGACGCCUCGAAGACCCUCUCUCCUCUCCCUCACUCGCUGCUCACUCUCCCUUCCCCUGCUCUCUCUCUCUCUCUGUAGCACGCCUGAACGGGUCCGUCGCUGCCGUUCGCUACCACCGUGAGCACCAUGGUCUUCUCGCCCCUUCCCCGUGUCCAAAAGCUCCGUGACGACGCACAGCUCCUCCACGCGGAAGAUCCCGAACCCAGGAGCACCGUGGUGACGCCUUCGAGCUCGUCUUCCACCUCGGGUGCCAUCGAUCACCGCUGGCGAUUCGUGGCAUCUGGCGCGCCCCCGAGCCCGCUGACCUUCUCUUCCGACCCCUAGUGAGCGCCGCCAUUUUUCCCCUCUCUUCUUGCUGCCGAACGUGUCCCCUAACCAUGCUCUUCACCGGAGCCGAAAGCUUCCGCCCGCCGGCCAUGUCACCGCCGUCGCCACAGCCGCCCAGCCCAAAACCGAGCGCGUCACCGUGCUCAGCAUAGUUCCACGGGCCCAGAGCAACCAACCGUUGCUCCUGCCGUGCACCAUAGCAACGUUUUCAUCAUCGCCCAAACUCCGGCCACCGCCGCGAGCUUGCCUCCGGCAAGCUUGGGCCACCUCAGCCCCUGCCGUUUGCACAGAUGGAUGCGGGCGAGUCCCAGCUCCACGUAGAUGCCCUCCACCGGCCAUUUGGUCACCGGAGGAGGAAUCCCGAGCCCCUCCGCCGUCUCUGGCCUUGUCGGCAACGAGCGCCGGGUCAACUCUGGCGUGGGUUGACCCCCACAGCCCAGUUUGACCUCCCUCCCUCUCUCUCACUGACUUGCGGGCCCCGCCCGACUAAUUACUAUAGUUAACGCUAAUUAACUAACUAGGUUAGCUACUACAGUCACUGACUAGUGGGCCCUGCCCAGUUAGUUAGGACUAACUAACUUAGUUAGUUGACUGGGUCACUGACCAGUGGGACCCACUGGUCAGGUUUGACCUGGUCAGCCCUGUCGACUCGCUUACGUCAUGCUGACGUUGAGCUGAUGCAAUAAUUGAUUUCUGGAAUUAUUUUAACUUAGGAAAUUCUAGAAUAUUGCCUAAACUUCAAAAAAUCAUAAUAAUUAAACCGUAGCUCAGAAUGAAAUAAAUUAUAUAUGAAAAAUUAUCAGAAAAAUGCAAGGAAUCCAUUUAUGCCAGUUUCAUGCAUGAAAAACAAACUUAUACUUGCUGUAUAAGUGAAAAUGUAAUAAUGGCAUGUUAUAUACUUAAAUUGGGGUUUGCAUAUGAACCCUUGGUUCAUAUGGACUUCAACCAAAUUUAUGCUAGAUGCAUUAGGGAAAAUCAUAGCAUCUUUGAAAUUUCAUCUUCAUGCAUCAUAUUGUUGCAUAUGGUUGUUUAUUGAUUGCCGGCACUGUCCCCUCUCGAUAGGUUCUACUCUGGAAGGUGUCCCGAGUACCUGUCUGAGGAGCAGUGCUUCUUCGUGGAUCUAUCAGGCAAGCAAACCCCCUUGAGCAUCUCGAUAAAUCCCACUCUCUCGCUCCUGCUCCUUUUACUGCAUUAGGACAACAACGUUUCAAACUGCUACUUUCUGCUGCGGUAGCUGAACCCAUUCCUCUACAUGACAUGUCAUUGCCACAGUAAAUAGUUGAAACCCACUAGUAUGAGUAGGAGUUGCUUGAGCCUUGAUGUGCCUGCUCAUCCAUGCUUGUUUUCUUUAUACCAGCUAUGCUUAGAGUUGUGUCAGGUCUGAUUCAUUGGAAUGAAUCGGAGUGGUGAACAUGUCCUACCGGUAAAGGCUAAGUGUGUGAACACGUUUUGGUAAAGGUAGCGAUGAGAGGCCAUGUAGGAGUACAUGGUGGGUUGUCUCAUUGGAACCGUCCUUAAGCACUGAGUUCUGUGUAUGUUAUCCAAGUCCAGUUACUAUCACACAUUGGGUUCCGGUUAUCCGGCCCCUCUCGGCUUAUUAAUCCACUUGAUCUCUGUCCAGGAGUUGCAACUAGUUUCUGGCUUUUGUAGGUAGUGCUACUUGUCUACCAGGUGGUGUCCGAUGGGACGGGCUUGGGACAGACUAGGCACCGUGGCAUAGUGUACCAAGUGGCACCCGGAUGGUGGGCUUGGGAACCCUGCACACAUUGUUUGGGGCCGUGAGCGACACCCCGGCCGGAUCUCCUUGCGGAUGGAACCCAAAUAGGCGAUAAACCUGGACGAGAGACUGGUGUGGUUAAUUAGGUCGUGGACGACACCCUCGCCCGGCUUCCGCUUGAAGGUUGCCGAGGUACAUGACGUGUACAGGGCUAUAAGUGGCGAGAGCAUGUGUGAAGAAGUACACCCUUGCAGGGUAAAUAUUAUCUAUUCGAAUAGCCGUUUUCCUCGGAUAUGGAAACUUGGAGGACUUAUGUAGUACAUAGACAACUUGAAGUGGAUACUCUAAAAUCCGCAAGAUAAGCGUGAGUGCUAUGGAUGGCCUUCUCGUAGGAAGACGGGAACGGAUCCAUAGUGGAGUACUGAUAUGGUGAAUAUGUGGACUCGUGUGCGUCUUCUCACCUCAAAGAAGUUUCUGAUACUCGUAGUAUAGGCUAGCCACUGAGUCAAAGCUGGCUUGCUGCUGUUAACUCCACCACCCCUUUGUUGAUAAUGUUGCAUAUGUAGAUAGUUCUGAUGUAAGACUUGCUGAGUACCUUUGUACUCACGUUUGCUUAUUUAUGUUUUGCAGUUGGAUACGCUAGUGACUUCGACGAGUAGCUUGUAUCCUAGCUACGAUCUUGUACCCUUGGGAGGGUCGUGUUUAGUCAGGCUUCUUAGUCUUGCCUUUUGUAGUUGUCUGUACUCAGACAUGUAAUGCUUAUGUUGCUUGUAUGCUCUGAAUGAUGGGUCAUGAGACCCCUGUUUGUAUUGAUUGCUAUGUGGCUCUUCUGGGCCUUUAUCUAUAUGAGUUUGAGUUAUGUUGUGAUGCCAUGAUGUACAGCACAUACUUGCAUGUUAUGCGUACGUGUAAUGUGUAUUGCUAUGUGUGGGAUCCGACAACCUAGUUGUUUACCUCUGAUAGCCUCUCUUAUGGGGAAAUGUAGUCUUGUGCUUCCAUGUGCCAUAGUAGUCCGCUACAGCCCGGUUCACCGGAGUCCUGCUAGCCCAGCACUACUGCUCCGGAACACUCGACUGGCUGGCAUGUGAUUCACUUCGUUCUUGUGUCUGUUCCUUUGGGGAAAUGGCACGCGGUGACAUCCAGAGUCCUGCCUAGCCUGCUACAGCCUGGGUUCCCGGAGUCCUGUUAGCCCAGUGCUACAGCCCGGAUUCAUACGUUGUUGACCGACAUGCUCGAGGUUGAUUCAUGUAUGCCUGUCCCUGUAAGUUAGUGCUACUUUGGGCUCACGACUAGUCAUGUCGGCCCGGGUUCUUUGUCAUAUGGAUGCUAGCGACACUAUCAUAUACGUGAGCCAAAAGGCACAAACGGUCCCGGGCCAGGUAAGGUGGCACCCGUGGGUAUACCGUGUGUGAGGCCACAAAGUGAUAUGAAGUGUUACAUGCUAGAUCGGUGUGACUUAGGAUCGGGGUCCCGACAGCAUUGGUAUCAGAGCCUGACUGACUGUAGGAUUACCAAGCCAAACUGGUCGAAGUUGAGUCUAGAAAUGCUUUAGUUAUAUAAGGGAAUUGAUUGUGGAAGGGAACGUGAGGCUCUUUUUACUCCUUUACCUCAUGUCAUUCUUUCUGAGUCAGCCUCUUCUUUUCUACGAGGGUUAAGGCCUAGGCUUCUCCUCUAUCUCUCAGGAUGACGUGUUACUAAACCGUAAAGUCUUAGGAUUGUUGGGUUGUGUCUCCUUACAGUUCUACUACUUCUGUGUGUCCUCAGUCUGACCCAAAACCUUGAUGUUAUGAUGCUGAUUGAUUAUGCUAUUCCUUGAUGAAUGUCUCAAAAAUCCUUUUGAGCAUUUACAGCCGUUAUGCUGCCGAAAUUGUCCCAGGAUUUCAAGAAUUUCCAAUGCUUUUGCAUUACAUUCCGCAUCCCUAUGUCGAUGCUAACUCCAUCCUUGUUUCCUUGGUUUCUAUGCCAGGAUGUCGUCUACUAACCGAGGUUUAGUUGCUCAUAGCAAGAACCACGGAGAUGGUAGGGAUGAGGAUCCUCCUGACCAGCCUUUGAUGGCAGAGUUCUUGUUAGCUUCCGAGAGGAACAAGCGUGAGACUAACCGCUUGCUGGCACAGAUUGAGCAGAACACCGCACAUCAGCGUAAGGAGUUGGUUUCCAUCACCGACUUCAUUGGUCUGAAACCACCCACCUUCCAUCACCCCAUUGAGCCACUCGAUGCGGAUGACUGGCUCCGAAGCAUCACUCACAAGUUGCAUUCUGCGAACGUAGCUAAAGGUGACAAGGUCGCCUAUGCUACCUAUCACCUGGAAGGUCCUGCUAGUAUUUGGUGGCAGAGCUAUGAGGCUAUGCUUCCAGCUGGUCAGAUUCCUACCUGGAGGGAUUUCACCGAGGCUUUUCGUGAGCACCACAUUCCUCAGGCUCUCAUUGACCGCAAGAGGGAAGAGUUCUGUAGUUUUACCCAGGGUAAGCUGCCUGUUGAUGCUUACAGUAGAGAGUUUGGAAGCCUCACCCGCUAUGCUACAGGAGAAGUGUCCACGGACGCUAAGAAGCAGGCUAGGUUCCGGAAGGGUCUCAACCCUAAGUUGCGUCGUGAUCUCCACCUGCAUCAUUGUGAUACUUUCCAGGCUCUUGUGAACAAGGCCAUUAAUGCAGAGACAGCUCAGCUCACUUACGAGGAGUCUCAUAAGCACAACCGUGAUCUGUGUUCUUCCUCCCGCUCUGGCUCUCAAAAGCGACGGAUUUGGAUUCUGAACUCGGCUCUUCCACCUGGAUAUGCACUGAGGCCAUCCGAUGUGGCACCUCACCCAACUCAGCAACGUGCUCCACCCAGGCCUAUUAGUGGACCACUUGCCAAUGUAGGUCCACGUCCUACCUCAGGAACUUGCUUCACCUGCAGAGAACCGGGACAGUACGCACGUGACUGCCCUCAGUCCAGUUUUACUCCACCCUAGUCUGAGAGGUAUGUUGGCCGUGAAAAGCCAUCAGGCAAGAUGAUCAGUACCAAGCCAGCCUCCAUUGAACGAGCAUGUGUGCACCAUGUCUCAGCUACAUAAGCUCAAGAUGAUCCCGACGUCAUACUGGGUACGCUUCUUGUCAAUUGUCACCCAGCUUUAGUUCUAUUCGAUACUGGAGCAUCCCACUCCUUCAUAUCCGAAGGAUACGCUCGAUUGCACGACAUGUCAUUUUGUAAUAUGCCGACUCCACUAAUAAUCCAGACUCCUGGUUCCAAAUGGCAAACCUCCAAGGUAAGCCAUGGUAAUGAAAUCCUUGUUGAUAGACUGGUAUUCCUUGCUUCUUUGAUAUCUCUCAAGUCCUCAGAUAUUAAUAUCAUCUUGGGUAUGGACUGGAUGACAUCUCAUCAUGCCAAGAUCGAUUGUUACACCAGAUCUGUUCAACUUACACAUCCAUCUAGCAAAAUAGUCAUUGUCUCUACUAGAGUUGCAAGGCGCCAACUCUAUUCUCUUAAUGCCAGCCCUCUUCUAGACCUUGAAGAUAUUCCGGUAGUCCGUGACUUCCCGGAUGUUUUUCCAGAAGAACUGCCAGGUGUGCCACCUGACAGAGAUGUAGAGUUUGUCAUAGAACUUAUCCCAGGAACUGUUCCAAUCUCUAGGAGACCAUACAAGAUGGCACCUUUGGAGUUAGUUGAGCUUAAGAAACAACUUGAUGAGUCCUUGCAAAAGGGGUUCAUCCGUCCCAGUUCUUCUCCUUGGGCUUGUCCUGUCCUCUUCGUCAAGAAGAAGGAUGGUACGGAUCGGAUGGUUGUAGAUUAUCAUCCCGUUAAUUUGGUCACGAUAAAGAACAAGUAUCCGCUCCCCAGGAUCAACGACCUGUAUGAUCAGCUCGCUGGAUCCUCAGUCUUUUCCAAGAUGGAUUUGAGGUUAGGCUAUCACCAAAUCAAGAUCAGAAACAGGGACAUCCCCAAAACGGCCUUUGUCACUCGUUAUGGUCAAUACGAGUACACCGUGAUGUCUUUCGGCCUAACAAAUGCUCCAGCUACUUUCUCCCGCUUGAUGAACUCGAUCUUUAUGGAGUACUUAGAUAAGUUCGUCGUGGUUUAUCUCGAUGAUAUUCUUAUUUACUCGAAGAACAAGGAAGAGCAUGCCGAACAUCUUAGGCUUGUGUUAGAAAAACUCAGAGUGCAUCGCCUUUAUGCCAAGUUCUCCAAGUGUGAAUUUUGGUUGCCAGAAGUGACCUAUCUGGGCCACGUGAUCUCUGGUAAGGGCAUUGCUAUCAAUCCCGAGAGAGUCAAAGCCGUUCUCGAUUGGACUCCACCCGAAACGGUCAAACAAGUUAGGAGUUUCCUUGGUCUAGCCAGUUAUUGUCGCCGCUUUGUUGAAAACUUCUCCAAAGUGGCCAAAACCCUCACGGAGCUUCUCAAGAAAGAUAAAAGGUUUGAGUGGAGUCCACAGUGUGAGCACAGUUUCCAGGAACUGAAAAGACGCCUGACUUCUGCGCCCAUACUCAUGCCACCGAAUUUCACUAAAUACUUCGUUAUCUAUUGCGACGCUUCACGUCAAGGACUAGGUUGCAUUCUUAUGCAGGAUCGUCAUGUGAUUGCCUAUGCAUCUCGACAGUUGCAUCCACAUGAGGAAAAUUAUCCUACACAUGAUCUGGAGCUUGCAGCCGUAGUCUAUGCACUUAAGACUUGGCGACAUUACCUUCUUGGUAACCGUUGCGAAAUCUUCACUGACCAUCAGAGUCUCAAGUAUAUCUUCACCCAACCGGAUCUGAAUCUCAGACAGAGACAUUGGUUGGAGUUGAUCUCGGAUUACGACUUAGGAAUCACCUACACCCCAAGCAAAGCCAAUGUCAUGGCUGAUGCUUUAAGUCGUAAAUCCUAUUGCAACAACCUCAUGUUGCAACAAUGUCAACCACCCCUCCAUGAGGAAUUAUGUAAGCUUAACCUUAACAUAGCUCCUCGUGGUUCCCUUUCUACCUUGGUGGCGAAACCUACCCUUACGGAUCAGAUCAUAGAGGCUCAGAAGCAUGAUACAGAAAUCUCCCGGAUCAAGAAGAAUAUUUCCAAGGGAGUUGCUGGCUGUUUCUCUACGGAUGAACGACGUGUUGUUUACUUUGGAAACCGUUUGGUGGUUCCCAAAUGUCAACAGAUGCAGCAACUGAUCCUUAAGGAGGCCCAUGAAUCCCCUCUAACGAUUCAUCCUGGUAGUACAAAGAUGUAUCAGGACCUACGCCAGAGGUUCUGGUGGACUAGGAUGAAGAGAGAAAUCGCUCAGUUUAUUGCCAACUGUGACGUUUGUCGUCGUGCUAAGGCAGAGCAUCAAAGACCUGUUGGCACCCUUCAACCUUUAGCUAUUCCAGAGUGGAAAUGGGACAAAGUUGGUAUGGAUUUCAUCACCGGCUUUCCCAGGACCAAGAAAGGAAAUAAUGCUAUCUUCGUAGUCAUUGACCGUCUCUCCAAAGUGGCUCACUUCCUACCUGUUCGAGAGAGUAUCACUGCUAGUCACCUCGCUGACUUAUAUAUCUCCCGAAUAGUGUCACUCCAUGGUGUUCCACUAGAGAUCAAUUCAGACCAUUGCAGUCUUUUCACCUCUCAUUUCUGGGAAAGUUUCCAGAAUGCCAUGGGCACCCAUCUUUCUUUUAGUACCGCUUUCCACCCUCAGUCAAGUGGUCAGGUGGAAAGGGUCAACCAAAUUCUCGAAGACAUGCUUAGAGCUUGUGUUAUCUCAUUCGGUAUGGAUUGGGAGAAAUGUCUUCCUUUUGCCGAGUUUGCUUAUAACAAUAGCUAUCAAUCCAGUCUUAAGAAAGCACCCUUCGAAAUUCUAUAUGGACGAAGAUGUCGAACACCUUUGAACUGGUCAAAAACCGGUGAAAGACAAUUCUUUGGACCGGAUAUGAUCCAGGAGGCAGAAGAGCAAGUUCGCAUCAUUCGUGAAAAUUUGAAAACAGCCCAAUCUCGUCAAAAGAGCCAGUAUGACCGUCGUCAUAAGGAAGUGGCUUAUGAAGUUGACGACAAGGCUUACCUUCGGGUUACUCCUUUGAAGGAUACCCAUCGUUUCGGUAUCAAGGGCAAGUUGGCUCCUUGCUACAUUGGUCCUUUUCACAUUCUCGCUAAACGAGGAGAGGUUGCCUACCAGUUGGAACUACCCCCACAUCUUUCUCGAGUUCAUGAUGUCUUCCACGUCUCUCAACUCAGGCGUUGCUUCUCGGAUCCCAUCCGCAGAGUGGACCACGAAACGCUUGAUCUUCAAGAUAACCUCACUUAUCGAGAGUACCCCGUUCGCAUUCUGGAUCAAGCAGAGCGUGUCACUCGACGUCAUAACAUCAAGUUUCUCAAGGUUCAAUGGUCUCAUCAUUCCGAGAGAGAAGCUACUUGGGAGCGAGAAGAUCGUCUUCGACUUGAGUACCCCGCUUUCUUUCCGCCAACUCCUGAAUCUCGGGACGAGAUUUUUCCAAGUGGGGGCGAGUUGUCACAUCCCUAGUUCUGGUAUGGUCCUAGGCUUGCUUUGUGCAUCAUGUUUAAAUUUCAAAUGAAAUUGAAAUGGGGAAGUUGCAAACCCUAGCACCAAAGUUUUUUCCAAUAGGUUCAACUUUAAAAUGGAUUUUCAAUGAAACCAAAAUGCUCUCCAAAAAUGUUCAUGCUCUUUGGAUAAUGUUGGGAACAACAACCAGAGGUGAUGCACAUUUUUGCUAUACAUUUUGGAUUUUUGAAUCAAUGCAUAAAUAUUUGAUUUGGAGCUGUUUAAAUUAUAUAAAUAUUUUAAUGGCUCGAAAAAUGUUGGGAAUUGGUGAGGGCCUCUAGAAUAUUAUAUCUAGAUGCCACAAAUAUUUUCAUUAUUUAUGGAAGUGUUUUAACAUUUCUUUUGGAUAGAGAACAAAUAUCAGAAAUAGAAAAAGGAAAUAGGAAAAGGAAAAGGCUUACCUGUCCUUACCUGGCAGCCCAGCCGGCCUGGCACUGUUGGCCCAGCCCACCAGAGGCAAGGUUGUCUUCAACCUUAUGCCCACUGGCAGCCAGCGCACACAGCCGACCGCGCCACCUCCUGCUUCGCCGUGUCGCGCUCCCCGUCAACCAAAUCCCGCGCCUGGAGACGCCUCGAAGCCCCUCUCUCCUCUCCCUCACUCGCUGCUCACUCUCCCUUCCCCUGCUCUCUCUCUGUAGCACGCCCGGGGGUCCGUCGCCGCCGUUCGCUGCCACUGUGAGCACCGUGGUCUUCUCGCCCCUUCCCCGUGUCCAAAAGCUUCGUGACGACGCACAGCUCCUCCACACGAAAGAUCCCGAACCCAGGAGCACCGUGGUGACGCCUUCGAGCUCGUCUUCCACCUCGGGUGCCACCGAUCACCGUCGGUGAUUCGUGGCGUCUGGCGCGCCCCCGAGCCUGCUGACCUUCUCUUCUGACCCCCAGUGAGCCCCGCCGUUUUCCCCCUCUCUUCUUGCUGCCGAACGUGUCCCCUAACCAUGCUCUUAACCAGAGCCGAAAGCUUCCGCCGCCGGCCAUGUCACCGCCGUCGCCUGUCACACCCUAGCUAGUUCAUGCAUUAGAGUGUUGCAUCAUGUCUAUCAUUUCAUUAGAAACUUGAAAUGGGGAUGCCAGAACCCCCAGCCCCCUCUGAAACCAACUAGGGUUUACUAAAAACUUUUUCAAUGAACCUGAAAUGCCCUUCUAAAAUGUCCAUCAUUUUUGUCUUGGUUCAGAAGCUCUGCCAAAAGUGUUGCACAAUUUUCUAGGUCAUCUUAGGGUCUUUGGAUUAAAUGAUAAGUAUUUGAAUUUGGGCAUUUAAAAUUAUAUAAAAUAUUUCAAAUGCUCAAAUAUUCCUAAACUGAAAUGUUUCAUGUUGGAAAUAUUCCAACUUUGAACCAGGAGCAGUUUGGUGAAUUUUGGAACUUUCUAGGUAUUUUUAAAAAUUCAACAAAGUUGCAGAAAAAUAGAAAAAGGAAAAUAACAGAAAAACUUACCUGGCGCCUACAACCCGGCCCACCUGCCGGCCCAGCCCAGCGCCGCGCCAGCGAGCUGCUUGCCCGGCCAGGCAGGCAGGCAGGUGCUCGACGGCGAGCACCGCAUGGGUGCCACCCACCUGCUCGCCGCCUCGCCGCUCCACUCGCCUGGCUAACGCCGUGGAUCGACCCCUCUCUCUCUCUCCCCCGAACCCCCCAGACGUCCCCUCUCCUCUCCAGCUCCUCCCCCUCGCGCUCCCCAGCCAUGGCCGACGCCACCGCCGCCGCUCCAUCGCCGUAGCCGUGCCCCCCGCCGCCCAUGCGUCGUCUCGUCGUGUCCAGGAGCUCCGCCGCCGUCCACUUCAUCGAGCUAACCGAGCCCCGUGUGCUCGUGAGGCCCGAGUCCACCGCACCAACCUCGCCCGAGUUCGCCGUCGCUGGAGAUCCCCUUCAACACCGUCGCCGCAUCUGCUCGUCCCCGACCCCGCCGGUGGCCUCUACGGGUGCUCUGUGAGCCUAGCUACCCCUCCUACCCUUCCUCUCUCGCCCCCGAGCCGUGUAGCCACCGCACGAAGAUCACCCGCACGCACCGCCGCAGAUCUCGUCAUCGACGUGCUCCCGGCCAUCCUCCGGCAACCUCUCGGUGUCCAUCGCACUCACCAUGCUGCGUUGGGUCCAACCGUGCACUCCCCGCACCUCACCGCACACCCUAGCCUCGAGUUCGUCCCCAACCGAACUCCGGUGGCCGCCUAGGUCGUCGCCGGCGCCAACUCUGGCCACCCCGACCGCAACUGACUCCACCAAGAGCUGCGGUUCGUCCCCAGCUCCACGUAGAUGCCUUCCGCGCCCCAUUUGGUGGCCGGAACGGCCAAAACCACUUCCGCCGCCGCGUCGGGCUCGCCGGCGGCUAAACGCCGGUGCAGCCGUUUUGACUUUGACCACGGGUGGGCCCUGGUUGACUCUGUUGAGUCAAUGACAGGUGGGGCCCCCUUCUGCUAAUUAUCCAGAUUAGUUUAAACUAAAUUAAAUUAGUUAAUUAUCCACUGACACCCUGGACCCACGCGUCAGGUUUGACCUGGACCGGGUCUGUUGACUUGCUGAGGUCAGCAUGACCUCAUGCUGACGUAGUAAACAUUUUCUGGAAUUAAAAUAAAUCUAAAAUGAUUUAUAAAUUCCAGAAAUUGUUGCAAACUUCAAAAAUUCAUAUAAAUUCAACCGUAGCUCCAAAUCAAACAAGUUAUAUAUGAAAAAUGAUCAGAAAAAUCCAAUCUUUCCAUUUGUACUAUUUUCAUGCAUGUUUAAACAAGUUAACUUGCUGUUUAGUGCAAAACAUGAUAAAGCACUAUUUAAGAUCACAAAUGUGUUUGGAAUUUGAAUCUUUGGUUCAAAUUGGCUCAAACCCAUCUAGUCUUAGUUGCAUUAGCCCAACACACUCAUAUUGCCAUGUCUCAUGCAUGCAUCAUAUUGUUGCAUAUUGUUUGGUGACGUUGUGUAUCGGUGUUCUCUGCGGCAGGUUCUGCCCCCGAGGAGUACCGUGAUUACCCUAACAAAGAGCAAUAUCAGUGCACCGACCCAUCAGGCAAGCAACCAACCAGUUGAUCAUAUCGAUACAAUCCCAUGUUCUCGCUUCUGCUCUCUUUUACUGCAUUAAGACAACGCGUUUCAAACUGCUGUGUGCUACGGUAGUUGAACCCAUUUCCUCUGCAUGACCUGUCAUUACCACAGUAACUAGAUGAAACCCACUAGCAUGUGUAGGAGUUGAUUGAGCCAUAUGUAUGUGUUGUUCCUACCUUGCUAUGCCUGCUAUGCUUAGAGUCGUGUCAGGCCUGGUUCAUCUGGUGAUGGGCUAGAGUGAAAUGAUCAUGCCGGUAUUGAGAGUGAUGUGGUGAACACGAUUUGGUAAAGGUAUCGAUGAGAGGCCAUGUAGGAGUACAUGGUGGGUUGUUUCAUUGAAGCCGACCUUAAGCACUGAGAUCUGUAUGUGUGAUUUAAGAAUCAGCUACUACCAUGCAUUGCGCCCGAAACCAAUGGACCCUCUCGGCUUCUUAUUCACCCUAGUUCUCUGUCCAGGAGUUGCAAGUAGUUUCUGGUGUUUGUAGCCUACUGGAGGCCGUGGACAGCGCUGACCGUAGGGGUGGGCUGUGAUGCGGUAGGUACAUGGCACGGCGUACCGAAUACCCGUUAGGUAUCUCAGGAACCCUGUACACAUCGUUCGGGGCCGUAUGGGAAACCUCGGCCGGACUCCCUGCGGAUGGAACCUGGAUAGGCGAUAAACCUGGACUAGAGACUUAGGUGUUUAGGUAGGUCGUGGUCUACACCCACGUCGGCUUUCGCUUGAAGUCUGCCGAGCACAUGUCGUGUGCAGACGCUAAGUGGUGGAAACAUGUAUGAAGAAGUACACCUCUGCAGGGUUAACAUGAUCUAUUCGAAUAGCCGCAUCCGCGGUAAAGGACUACUUGGUUGCUUAUAUAGUUCAUAGACAAGUAAACUGGAAACUACUAAAAGCUUCAAGAUAAGCGUGAGUGCCGAGGAUGGCCCCUCCGUAGGAAGACGGAGGUGGAUUCUCGGUAGUGUAUUGAAGUGGUGAGUAGUGGACUCGUGUGCGCAAAACCAUUUCAAGUUGGAGUCUCGCAGGAUAGUUUAGCCAAGAGUCAAAGCUGGCUUGCUGCAAUAACUCCACCAACCCUUCUUGAUAAUGUGCAUGUAUGUAGGAUCUGACGUAAGUCUUGCUGGGUACCUUUGUACUCAUGUUGCUAUAAUUUACAUUUUACAGAAGGCGCUGCAACCCCUUCUGAUGGGUUCUUCGUAGACGUUGACAUCGACGAGUAGACUAAGGCCCAGGUGGUAAUCCUGAGCUUGUGAAGGUCCACGUAGUAUAGCUAGGCUUUCCAAGCCUCUUUUAUUUUACUAGUUGUCUGUACUCAGACAAGUUACUUCCGCUGCUGGUUUGUAUGACUGUAUGACUUGAAUGUGGGUCGUGUGACCCAUACUUGUAUGUAUGUUAUGUAUGGCUCUCUGAGCCUUAAAAUAAAGUACUUGUGUCGUAGAGUCAUGUUGUGAUGCCUUGUUGUAUUUGCACAUAUCGAGCAUAUUGUGUGUAUGAUUGAAAUGCUUGGUAUGUGUGGGAUCUGACUAUCUAGUUGUUUAUCUUUAGUAGCCUCUCUUACCGGGAAAUGUCUCCUAGUGUUUCCAUUGAGCCAUGGUAGCUUGCUACUGCUCCGGAACACUUAGGCUGGCCGGCAUGUGUCCUUCUUCGUUCCUGUGUCUGUCCCUUCGGGGAAAUGUCACGCAUUGAGUACCGGAGCCCUGUUAGCCCGCUACAGCCCGGUUUACCGGAGUCCUGCUAGCCCAGUGCUACAGCCCGGACCCACUUGCUGAUGACCGACACGUUCGAUGCUGGGUCAUGGAUGCCUGUCCCUGUAAGUCUAUGCCACUUUGGGUUUACGACUAGUCAUGUCAGCCCGGGCUCCUUAUCAUAUGGAUGCUAGCGACAUCAUCAUAUACGUGAGCCAAAAGGCGGAAACGGUCCCGGGAAAAAGUAAGGCGACACCCGUGGGAAUACUGUGCGUGAGGCCGCAAAAUGAUAUGAGGUGUUACAGGCUAGAUCGAUGUGACAUUGAGUCGGGGUCCUGACAGCGUUGGUAUCAGAGUCGGACUGCCUGUAGGUUCUCCAAGCCAAACUGGUCGAUGUUGAGUCUAGAAAUACUUUAGUUAUAUGUAGGGGAAUUGAUUGUGGGAUGGUACGUAAGGCUCUUUUUACUUCUUUACCUCAUGGCAUUCUGAUCUGAGUCAGUCCAUUCUUCUACUGGGGAUUAAGGAUUAGGAUCUUCUCUCUCUAUCAGGUUCACGUGUUACUAAUUAGUAGUACCUUAUAAGUUUGAUGACUACAAGCCUAGUUCAGUUCUACUACCUUGUUAUGCUGAUAAGUUGGACCCAGAACCUUGAUAUGAUAUUGUUGAGUGUCUAUGCAAUUUUUUGAUAAAUGUCUCAAACCCUUCUUGAGCAUUUACAGCCGCUAUGCUAUCGAAAUUCUGCUAGAAAUUCUAAUGCCUUUGCAUUAUGGUUGUGCUUUCAGAUGGCCACUCGCGACCAAAAUCAAGUGGUUCGCCUGACCCGAUGCAUUGGUGUGACCGGUCAUACGGCCAUGUUAGUCCGAGUGAUGAUCGAGACGGGUUACCGUUGGUAUCCCGAAUACACGGUCGAAGAGCAGUUUCGAGAUUUUAACCAAAGCCAGUAUCUUUGCACCGUUCGGAUAUUUCCCUCUUAUCCUGGUUCUACCGAGGCUCUUCACUGUUACUAUGGGCUCGGUGUUACUAUUGAGAUGGCUGUGCAAGAUGCGGCUUAUUCUAUGAUGACCAUCAUGCGAGUCAGGACUGGCCUACUUCGCAACACCGACUUCCGGUAUAUGCCGGCUUCACUUCCUGGAGUGCACGGUUAUCUCCGGGCUAUCUAUGCUGACCCCAGUCAGGAGGACUCACUAACUUUCACCACUGCUGAGUUGCUCGAGGAUAAGGACCGAGAGAAUCGGGCCUUGAGAAUGGAGCUUUUCAACACCCGCGCCGAUCAUUGGGCCACCUUGACUCGGUUUGCACCGGCUGUGCAAGCUGGAUGCAUGGAUAUGAGAGAUAUGUAUCCUGUUAGGUCUGCUCUGUCGGACAUGAUGGAUUGGCGUGAUGUGGGAGGCAUCACCCCACCUCGUGGUCCUCGCAGGCCACCGUUUGUUGGUCCAAGACCUCACCCUAGCCCUUUUGGUCCACAGGCUCCUCAGGACCGUUUGUUUCCGGAUGCUCAUGUUGAACUUCCAGGCUAUGGAGGAGAUUUUUAUGAGAGCUACUACAGAGAUGACUGAGAUAGUAGUAGUUCCACUAGGUAUUGUAAUAGUUGUAUUUCCACCGUCCUGCGUGACUUGUGGAAUAUGACUUAGCGUGUUGUAAUUCCGGGGGUGUAGGAAAAAUAAUGUAUAGGAGCUUGGGAUGCCUCCGAUGAUAUGUAAUCCUCCUCUCACCGUAGUAGUACUUGUUGGUCUUGUACUAAACCUCGUAUGGUGUGUAUGACGAUGGAAUAAAAGAGGUAGUUUCUGUAUCUACCAUGUCAUACGGAUGAUCAUCUUGCAUUCUGAGUUGUCCAUUACAUUCUACAUUCUAUGUCGGAAUCUUGUCAUGUUGGACUAAACCAUUGUCUUGUUUUUCCUAGGAUGGACAACACCCGCAACAACCCUGCUCCCCCAGAGCAGGCCGAAGGCAGCAGAGUUGGGGAUACAAAUCUGCCUCACCCUCCCUCUCUGGUAGAAGUUAUGCUAGAGGCUGAGAGAAACAAGCGGGAGACCAACCGUUUGUUGGAGCGUACUGAACAGAACACAGCACACCAUCAGAGGACUAACUUGGUGUCACUCAGUGAUUUCAUCAAGUUACAUCCACCCACGUUCCACCACUCCGUCGAGCCUCUCGACGCUGAUGACUGGCUUCGCAGUAUUUCUCACAAACUGCGUUCUGCGCUAGUAGCUGAGGCUGACAAGGUCACCUUUGCUGCAUAUCAUCUUGAAGGCCCCGCCAGUCUAUGGUGGGAGAAUUAUGGAGCUAUGCGCCCAGCAGGCCACGUCACUACUUGGGCUGAAUUCAGCAAGGCUUUCCGUGAACAUCACAUUCCGGAGGGUCUCAUGGACCGUAAACGUGAGGAGUUCUGUAGUUUCACUCAAGGUCGACUCUCUGUUGACGCUUACAGCAGGGAGUUUGGUAACCUUGCCCGUUAUGCAACGGAGGAAGUUUCUACUGAUGCCAAGAAGCAGGCAAGGUUCCGUAAGGGGCUUAGUCCUGAGCUUCGCCGCGACCUCCGUCUGCAUGAGUGCACAUCUUUUCAGAAGCUUGUUAACAAAGCCAUCAGUGCUCAGACUGGUCAGACUGAUUAUGAAGCAACACGCAAGCAUGUCCGUGACUUGGGUUCCUCAUCCGGUGCUGGUCCUUAGAAGCACCGCGUGUGGGUGCCUAACACUGCCCUGCCACCCAGGUUCACACCGAGGCCAUCCUUCCAGGCGCCUCGCCCAGCUUAGCCAUAUGCACCAGCCAAGCCCUAUGGUGGUCCAACCAACAAUGCUCCUUCACGUACCAGUUCCGUGACUUGUUUCAAGUGUGGGGAAUCAGGCCACUAUAUGCGCGAGUGUCCCCAAACCAACCCCAACCAGACAGCAAAAACUGUUGGCCGCGGCAAGCCGACAGGGAAAGUGUUCCACGCCAAGCCGGCCACCACUGCUCGUGGCCAUGUUAAUUGUGUUUCUACGGAAGAGGCUCAAGAAGAUCCCAACGUCGUUCUCGGUACGCUCCUUGUUAAUUGCCACCCGGCAUCUGUUCUUUUCGAUACAGGAGCAUCUCAUUCAUUUAUAUCUGAGAUCUAUGCUCGUCUGCAUAACACCACAUUCUGUGAGAUGCCCACCUCUAUGGUAAUUCAAACCCCGGGAUCCAAAUGGCAAACUUCUAGAGUAAGCCAUGGAAAUGAAAUUCAAGUCGACAAACUUGUUUUUCUCGCAUCUUUGAUAGCCCUAAAAUCUUCGGAUAUUAAUAUCAUCUUGGGUAUGGACUGGAUGUCAGCCCAUCAUGCCAAAAUUGAUUGUUUCUCUAGGACUGUUCAACUCACCCAUCCUUCGGGGAAGAUAGUCAAUGUCUUGACCCGAAUAGCCAAGCGACAGUUAUAUUCUCUUAACGCCAGCCCUUUGCCAGACCUUGAGGACGUUCCAGUAGUCCGUGACUUUCCGGAUGUCUUCCCAGAGGAAUUGCCAGGUGUUCCACCUGACAGGGAUGUCGAAUUCAUGAUAGAUCUCAUUCCAGGAACUGUCCUGAUUUCCAGAAGACCCUACAAGAUGGCACCGUUUGAACUAGCCGAGCUUAAGAAACAACUCGAUGAGUCCUUGAAAAAGGGUUUCAUCUGACCUAGUUCAUCUCCUUGGGCUUGCCCCGUCCUCUUCGUCAAGAAGAAGGAUGGUACGGACCGGAUGGUUGUAGAUUAUCGACCUGUCAACUUGGUAACAAUUAAGAACAAGUAUCCGCUCCCCAGGAUCAACGACCUGUAUGAUCAGCUCGCUGGAUCCUCAGUCUUCUCUAAAAUGGAUUUGAGGUUGGGCUACCAUCAAAUCAAAAUCAGGAACGGGGACAUUUCGAAAACGGCCUUUGUUACUCGUUAUGGCCAAUACGAGUACAUCGUCAUGUCCUUUGGUUUAACCAACGCUCCAGCCACCUUCUCUCGGUUGAUGAACUCAAUCUUCAUGGAGUAUUUGGAUAAAUUCGUCGUGGUUUACCUCGAUGAUAUACUCAUCUACUCCAAGAACGAGGAAGAACAUGUCGAACACCUAAGGCUAGUGUUGAAGAAACUUCGAGAGCAUCGCCUUUAUGCCAAAUUUUCUAAAUGUGAAUUCUGGUUGUCAGAAGUGACCUAUCUUGGACAUGUAAUUUCUGGUAAAGGCAUUGCUGUUAACCCUGAGCGAGUUCAAGCCGUCCUUAAUUGGACUCCACCUGAAUCGGUCAAGCAAGUUCGGAGUUUUCUGGGCUUAGCGAGCUAUUGCCGUCGCUUUGUCGAGAAUUUCUCCAAAGUUGCCAAACCUCUAACUGAACUCCUCAAGAAAGAUAAAAAGUUCGAGUGGACUCCACAAUGUGAGCACAGUUUCCAGGAAUUGAAAAGACGUUUAACCUCUGCUCCCGUACUGGUACCACCGGAUUUUUCCAAGGAUUUUGUUAUCUACUGCGACGCCUCGCGACAAGGACUAGGCUGUAUUCUCAUGCAAGAUCGACACGUAAUUGCUUAUGCUUCACGGCAAUUACACCCACAUGAGGAAAACUACCCCACUCAUGAUCUAGAGCUUGCAGCUGUAGUCCAUGCACUCAAAACAUGGCGACAUUAUCUUCUCGGUAAUCGUUGUGAAAUCUACACUGAUCACCAAAGUCUGAAGUAUAUAUUCACCCAACCGGAUUUAAAUCUCAGGCAAAGACGUUGGGUCCAGUUGAUCACAGAUUUCGACUUAGCAAUAACUUACACCCCAGGGAAAGCCAACGUCAUGGCUGAUGCGCUAAGUCGUAAAUCUUAUUGUAACAACCUGAUGUUACAACAAAGUCAACCGCUUCUCCAUGAGGAAUUUCGGAAGCUUAACCUUCACAUUGCUCCUCAAGGAUUUAUUUCCACCUUGGUGGUGAAACCUACCCUUACGGAUCAGAUCAUCAAAGCACAGAAAGUAGAUUCGGGAAUUUCCCGCAUCAAGAGAAACAUCAAGAAAGGAGUUGCGAAUUGUUUCUCCAUCGAUGAUCAAGGAGUCGUAUACUUCGGGAAUCGGCUAGUGGUCCCCAAGGUGCGAAACCUGAGGCGAUUGAUCCUUAAGGAAGCUCAUGAAUCUCCUCUCACUAUUCAUCCUGGUAGCACUAAGAUGUAUCAGGACCUACGCCAGAGGUUCUGGUGGACUAGGAUGAAGAGAGAAAUUGCUCAGUAUAUUGCUAAUUGCGACGUCUGCCGUCGUGUAAAAGCAGAGCAUCAACGGCCUGCUGGCACCCUUCAACCCCUAGCUAUUCCUGAAUGGAAAUGGGAUAAAAUUGGUAUGGACUUCAUUACCGGUUUUCCCAGGACCAAGAGAGGGAAUAAUGCUAUCUUCGUCAUUGUCGAUCGUCUUUCCAAAGUGGCCCAUUUCUUACCUGUUCAUGAGAGUAUAACUGCUAGUCAGUUAGCAGACUUGUACAUCUCCCGAAUAGUGUCUCUCAAUGGUGUUCCUUUGGAAAUGAACUCGGAUCGAGGAAGUCUCUUCACCUCUCGAUUUUGGGAAAGUUUCCAAAAUGCUAUGGGAACCCGCCUUUCCUUUAGCACCGCUUUCCACCCUCAAUCAAGUGGUCAAGUGGAACGCGUCAACCAGAUUCUAGAAGACAUGCUUCGAGCUUCUGUUAUCUCAUUCGGAAUGGAGUGGGAGAAAUGCCUUCCAUUUGCCGAAUUUGCUUAUAACAACAGCUAUCAAUCCAGCUUGGGCAAAGCCCCUUUUGAAGUUCUCUAUGGACGAAGGUGUCGAACGCCUCUUAACUGGUCAGAAACCGGGGAAAGACAAUUCUUUGGCCUGGAUAUGAUUCAGGAAGAAGAAGAGCAAGUUCGCAUCGUUCGUGAAAAGUUGAAAACAGCCCAAUCUCGUCAAAAGAGUCAAUACGACCGAAAACAUAAGGCUAUGACUUUUGAGGUUGACGAGAAGGCUUACCUUCGGGUAACUCCUCUGAAGGGAACCCACCACUUCGGUAUCAAGGGCAAAUUGGCUCCUCGUUACAUUGGACCUUUUCGCAUUCUCGCAAAACAAGGAGAAGUUGCCUACCAAUUGGAACUACCUCCGAAUCUCUCCAGAGUCCACGACGUCUUCCACGUUUCUCAACUCAGGCGUUGCUUCUCGAAUCCUAUCCGUGGAGUAGACCACGAAACGCUUGAUCUCCAAGAUAAUCUCACGUAUCGAGAGUACCCUGUUCGUAUCCUCGAUCAAGCUGAGCGUACCACUCGACGUCAUAAUAUCAAGUUUCUCAAGGUUCAGUGGUCGCACCAUUCUGAGAAUGAAGCAACUUGGGAAAGGGAGGAUCGUCUUCGACUCGAGUAUCCCGCCUUCUUCCCGGAGGAACCCAAAUCUCGGGACGAGAUUCUUUUGAGUGGGGGUGAGUUGUCACACCCUAGCUAGUUCAUGCAUUAGAGUGUUGCAUCAUGUCUAUCAUUUCAUCAGAAACUUGAAAUGGGGAUGCCAGAACCCCCAGCCCCCUCUGAAACCAACUAGGGUUUACUAAAAACUUUUUCAAUGAACUUGAAAUGCCCUUCUAAAAUGUCCAUCAUUUUUGUCUUGGUUCAGAACCUCUGCCAAAAGUGUUGCACAAUUUUCUAGGUCAUCUUAGGGUCUUUGGAUUAAAUGAUAAGUAUUUGAAUUUGGGCAUUUAAAAUUAUAUAAAAUAUUUCAAAUGCUCAAAUAUUCCUAAACUGAAAUGUUUCAUGUUGGAAAUAUUCCAACUUUGAACCAGGAGCAGUUUGGUGAAUUUUGGAACUUUCUAGGUAUUUUUAAAAAUUCAACAAAGUUGCAGAAAAAUAGAAAAAGGAAAAUAACAGAAAAACUUACCUGGCGCCUGCAACCCGGCCCACCUGCCGGCCCAGCCCAGCGCCGCGCCAGCGAGCUGCUUGCUCGGCCAGGCAGGCAGGCAGGUGCUCGACGGCGAGCACCGCAUGGGUGCCACGCACCUGCUCGCCGCCUCGCCGCUCCACUCGCCCGGCUAACGCCGUGGAUCGACCCCUCUCUCUCCCCGGAACCCCCCAGACGUCCCCUCUCCUCUCCAGCUCCUCCCCCUCGCGCUCCCCAGCCAUGGCCGACGCCACCGCCGCCGCUCCAUCGCCGUAGCCGCGCUCCCCGCCGCCCGUGCGUCGUCUCGUCGUGUCCAAGAGCUCCACCGCCGUCCACUUCGUCGAGCUAACCGAGCCCCGUGUGCUCGUGAGGCCCGAGACCACCGCAUCGACCUCGCCCGAGUUCGCCGUCGCCGGAGAUCCCCUUCAACGCCGUCGCCGCAUCAGCUCGUCCCCGACCCCGCCGGUGGCCUCUACGGGUGCUCUAUGAGCCUAGCUACCCCUCCUAGCCUUCCUCUCUCGCCCCCGAGCCGUGUAGGCACCGCACGAAGAUCACCCGCACGCACCGCCACGGAUCUCGUCGCCGACGUGCUCCCGGCCAUCCUCCGGCCACCUCUCGGUGUCCAUCGCACUCACCAUGCUGCGUUGGGUCCAACCGUGCACUCCCCGCACCUCACCGCACACCCUAGCCUCGAGUUCGUCCCCAACCGAACUCCGGUGGCUGCCUAGGUCGUCGCCAGCGCCAACUCCGGCCACCCCGACCCCAACUGACUCCACCAAGAGCUGCGGUUCGUCCCCAGCUCCACGUAGAUGCCUUCCGCGCCCCAUUUGGUGGCCGGAACGGCCAAAACCACUUCCGCCGCCGCGUCGGGCUCGCCGGCGACUAAACGCCGGUGCAGCCGUUUUGACUUUGACCACGGGUGGGCCCUGGUUGACUCUGUUGAGUCAAUGACAGGUGGGGCCCCCUUCUGCUAAUUAUCCAGAUUAGUUUAAACUAAAUUAAAUUAGUUAAUUAUCCACUGACACCCUGGACCCACGCGUCAGGUUUGACCUGGACCGGGUCUGUUGACUUGCUGAGGUCAGCAUGACCUCAUGCUGACGCAGUAAACCUUUUCUGGAAUUAAAAUAAAUCUAAAAUGAUUUAUAAAUUCCAGAAAUUGUUGCAAACUUCAAAAAUUCAUAUAAAUUCAACCGUAGCUCCAAAUCAAACAAGUUAUAUAUGAAAAAUGAUCAGAAAAAUCCAAUCUUUCCAUCUGUACUGUUUUCAUGCAUGUUUAAACAAGUUAACUUGCUGUUUAGUGCAAAACAUGAUAAAGCACUAUUUAAGAUCACAAAUGUGUUUUGAAUUUGAAUCUUUGGUUCAAAUUGGCUCAAACCCAUCUGGUCUUAGUUGCAUUAGCCCAACACACUCAUAUUGCCAUGUCUCAUGCAUGCAUCAUAUUGUUGCAUAUUGUUUGGUGACGUUGUGUAUCGGUGUUCUCUGCGGCAGGUUCUGCCCCCGAGGAGUAUCGUGAUUACCCUAACGAAGAGCAAUAUCAGUGCACCGACCCAUCAGGCAAGCAACCAACCAGUUGAUCAUAUCGAUACAAUCCCAUGUUCUCGCUUCUGCUCUCUUUUACUGCAUUAAGACAACGCGUUUCAAACUGCUGUGUGCUACGGUAGUUGAACCCAUUUCCUCUGCAUGACCUGUCAUUGCCACAGUAACUAGAUGAAACCCACUAGCAUGUGUAGGAGUUGAUUGAGCCAUAUGUAUGUGUUGUUCCUACCUUGCUAUGCCUGCUAUGCUUAGAGUCGUGUCAGGUCUGGUUCAUCUGGUGAUGGGCUAGAGUGAAAUGAUCAUGCCGGUAUUGAGAGUGAUGUGGUGAACACGAUUUGGUAAAGGUAUCGAUGAGAGGCCAUGUAGGAGUACAUGGUGGGUUGUUUCAUUGAAGCCGACCUUAAGCACUGAGAUCUGUAUGUGUGAUUUAAGAAUCAGCUACUACCAUGCAUUGGGCCCGAAACCAAUGGACCCUCUCGGCUUCUUAUUCACCCUAGUUCUCUGUCCAGGAGUUGCAAGUAGUUUAUGGUGUUUGUAGCCUACUGGAGGCUGUGGACAACGCUGACCGUAGGGGUGGGCUGUGAUGCGGUAGGUACGUGGCACGGUGUACCGAAUACCCGUUAGGUAUCUCAGGAACCCUGUACACAUCGUUCGGGGCCGUAUGGGAAACCUCGGCCGGACUCCCUGCGGAUGGAACCUGGAUAGGCGAUAAACCUGGACUAGAGACUUAGGUGUUUAGGUAGGUCGUGGUCUACACCCACGUCGGCUUUCGCUUGAAGUCUGCCGAGCACAUGUCGUGUGCAGACGCUAAGUGGUGGAAACAUGUAUGAAGAAGUACACCCCUGCAGGGUUAACAUGAUCUAUUCGAAUAGCCGCGUCCGCGGUAAAGGACUACUUGGUUGCUUAUACAGUUCAUAGACAAGUAAACUGGAAACUACUAAAAGCUUCAAGAUAAGCGUGAGUGCCGAGGAUGGCCCCUCCGUAGGAAGACGGAGGUGGAUUCUUGGUAGUGUAUUGAAGUGGUGAGUAGUGGACUCGUGUGCGCAAAACUAUUUCAAGUUGGAGUCUCGUAGGAUAGUUUAGCCAAGAGUCAAAGCUGGCUUGCUGCAAUAACUCCACCAACCCUUCUUGAUAAUGUGCAUGUAUGUAGGAUCUGACGUAAGUCUUGCUGGGUACCUUUGUACUCAUGUUGCUAUAAUUUACAUUUUACAGAAGGCGCUGCAACCCCUUCUGAUGGGUUCUUCGUAGAUGUUGACAUCGACGAGUAGACUAAGGCCCAGGUGGUAAUCCUGAGCUUGUGAAGGUCCACGUAGUAUAGCUAGGCUUUCCAAGCCUCUUUUAUUUUACUAGUUGUCUGUACUCAGACAAGUUACUUCCGCUGCUGGUUUGUAUGACUGUAUGACUUGAAUGUGGGUCGUGUGACCCGUACUUGUAUGUAUGUUAUGUAUGGCUCUCUGAGCCUUAAAAUAAAGUACUUGUGUCGUAGAGUCAUGUUGUGAUGCCUUGUUGUAUUUGCACAUAUCGAGCAUAUUGUGUGUAUGAUUGAAAUGCUUGGUAUGUGUGGGAUCUGACUAUCUAGUUGUUUAUCUUUAGUAGCCUCUCUUACCGGGAAAUGUCUCCUAGUGUUUCCAUUGAGCCAUGGUAGCUUGCUACUGCUCCGGAACACUUAGGCUGGCCGGCAUGUGUCCUUCUUCGUUCNNNNNNNNNNUGACCCGCGGGGUGGGCUGUGAUGCGGUAGGUACGUGGCACGGUGUAUCGAAUACCCGUUAGGUAUCUCGGGAACCCUGUACACAUCGUUCGGGGCCGUAUGGGAAACCUCGGCCGGACUCCCUGCGGAUGGAACCUGGAUAGGCGAUAAACCUGGACUAGAGACUUAGGUGUUUAGGUAGGUCGUGGUCUACACCCACGUCGGCUUUCGCUUGAAGUCUGCCGAGCACAUGUCGUGUGCAGACGCUAAGUGGUGGAAACAUGUAUGAAGAAGUACACCCCUGCAGGGUUAACAUGAUCUAUUCGAAUAGCCGCGUCCGCGGUAAAGGACUACUUGGUUGCUUAUACAGUUCAUAGACAAGUGAAUGGAUACUACUAAAAAUCUCAAGAUAAGCGUGAGUGCCGAGGAUGGCUCUUCCGUAGGAUGACGGAGGUGGAUCCUCGGUGGCGUAUUGAAGUGGUGAGUAGUGGACUCGUGUUCGCAAAACCAUUUCAAGUUGGAGUCUCGUAGGAUAGUUUAGCCAAGAGUCAAAGCUGGCUUGCUGCAAUAACUCCACCAACCCUUCUUGAUAAUGUGCAUGUAUGUAGGAUCUGACGUAAGUCUUGCUGGGUACCUUUGUACUCAUGUUGCUAUAAUUUGCAUUUUACAGAAGGCGUUGCAACCCCUUCUGAUGGGUUCUUCGUAGACGUUGACAUCGACGAGUAGACUAAGGCCCAGGUGGUAAUCCUGAGCUUGUGAAGGUCCACGUAGUAUAGCUAGGCUUUCCAAGCCUUUUUUAUUUUACUAGUUGUCUGUACUCAGACAAGUUACUUCCGAUGCUGGUUUGUAUGACUGUAUGACUUGAAUGUGGGUCGUGUGACCCGUACUUGUAUGUAUGUUAUGUAUGGCUCUCUGAGCCUUUAAAUAAAGUACUUGUGUCGUAGAGUCAUGUUGUGAUGCCUUGUUGUAUUUGCACAUAUCGAGCAUAUUGUGUGUAUGAUUGAAAUGCUUGGUAUGUGUGGGAUCUGACUAUCUAGUUGUUUAUCUUUAGUAGCCUCUCUUACCGGGAAAUGUCUCCUAGUGUUUCCAUUGAGCCGUGGUAGCUUGCUACUGCUCCGGAACACUUAGGCUGGCCGGCAUGUGUCCUUCUUCGUUCCUGUGUCUGUCCCUUCGGGGAAAUGUCACGCAUUGAGUACCGGAGCCCUGUUAGCCCGCUACAGCCCGGUUUAUCGGAGUCCUGCUAGCCCAGUGCUACAGCCCGGACCCACUUGCUGAUGACCGACACGUUCGAUGCUNNNNNNNNNNGUUGACAUCGACGAGUAGACUAAGGCCCAGGUGGUAAUCCUGAGCUUGUGAAGGUCCACGUAGUAUAGCUAGGCUUUCCAAGCCUCUUUUAUUUUACUAGUUGUCUGUACUCAGACAAGUUACUUCCGCUGCUGGUUUGUAUGACUGUAUGACUUGAAUGUGGGUCGUGUGACCCGUACUUGUAUGUAUGUUAUGUAUGGCUCUCUGAGCCUUAAAAUAAAGUACUUGUGUCGUAGAGUCAUGUUGUGAUGCCUUGUUGUAUUUGCACAUAUCGAGCAUAUUGUGUGUAUGAUUGAAAUGCUUGGUAUGUGUGGGAUCUGACUAUCUAGUUGUUUAUCUUUAGUAGCCUCUCUUACCGGGAAAUGUCUCCUAGUGUUUCCAUUGAGCCAUGGUAGCUUGCUACUGCUCCGGAACACUUAGGCUGGCCGGCAUGUGUCCUUCUUCGUUCCUGUGUCUGUCCCUUCGGGGAAAUGUCACGCAUUGAGUAUCGGAGCCCUGCCCGCUACAGUCCGGUUUACCGGAGUCCUGCUAGCCCAGUGCUACAGCCCAGACCCACUUGCUGAUGACCGACACGUUCGAUGCUGGGUCAUGGAUGUCUGUCCCUGUAAGUCUGUGCCACUUUGGGUUUACGACUAGUCAUGUCAGCCCAGGCUCCUUAUCAUAUGGAUGCUAGCGACAUCAUCAUAUACGUGAGCCAAAAGGCGCAAACGGUCCUGGGCAAAAGUAAGGCGACACCCGUGGGAAUACCGUGCGUGAGGCCGCAAAGUGAUAUGAGGUGUUACUGGCUAGAUCGAUGUGACAUUGAGUCGGGGUCCUGACAUCGCCGCAGCCGCCCAAGCCCAAAACCGAGCGCGUCACCGUGCUCAGCAUAGUUCCACGGGCCCAGAGCAACCAACCGUUGCUCCUGCCGUGCACCAUAGCAACGUUUUCAUCAUCGCCGAACUCCGGCCACCGCCGCGAGCUUGCCUCCGGCGAGCUCGGGCCACCUCAGCCCCUGCCGUUUGCACAGAUGGAUGCGGGCGAGUCCCAGCUCCACGUAGAUGCCCUCCGCCGGCCAUUUGGUCACCGGAGGAGGAAUCCCGAGCCCCUCCGCCGUCUCUGGCCUUGCCGACGACAAGCGUCGGGUCAACUCCGGUGUAGGUUGACCCCCACAGCCCAGUUUGACCUCCCCCCUCUCUCUCACUGACUUGCGGGCCCCGCCCGACUAAUUACUAUAGUUAACGCUAAUUAACUAACUAGGUUAGCUACUACAGUCACUGACUAGUGGGCCAUGCCCAGUUAGUUAGGACUAACUAACUUAGUUAGUUGACUGGGUCACUGACCAGUGGGACCCACUGGUCAGGUUUGACCUGGUCAGCCCCGUUGACUUGCUUACGUCAUGCUGACGUAGAGCUGACGCAAUAAUUGAUUUCUAGAAUUAUUUUAACUCAGGAAAUUCCAGAAUAUUGCCUAAACUUCAAAAAAUCAUAAUAAUUAAACCGUAGCUUAGAAUGAAAUAAAUUAUAUAUGAAAAAUUAUCAGAAAAAUGCAAGGAAUCCAUUUAUGCCAGUUUCAUGCAUGAAAAACCAACUUAUACUUGUUGUAUAAGUGAAAAUGUAAUAAUGGCAUGUUUUAUACUUAAAUUGGAGUUUGCAUUUGAACCCUUUGUUCAUAUGGACUUCAACAAAAUUUAUGCUAGAUGCAUUAGGGAAAAUCAUAGCAUCUUUGAAAUGUCAUCUUCAUGCAUCAUAUUGUUGCAUAUGGUUGUUUAUUGAUUGCCGACACUAUCCCCUCUCGAUAGGCUCUACUCCGGAAGGUGUCCCGAGUACCUGUCUGAGGAGCAGUGCUUCUUCGUGGAUCUAUCAGGCAAGCAAACCCCCUUGAGCAUCUUGAUAAAUCCCACUCUCUCGCUCCUUCUCCUUUUACUGCAUUAGGACAACAACGUUUCAAACUGCUACUUUCUGCUGCGGUAGCUGAACCCAUUCCUCUGCAUGACCUGUCAUUGCCACAGUAAAUAGUUGAAACCCACUAGUAUGAGUAGGAGUUGCUUGAGCCUUGAUGUGCCUGCUCAUCCAUGCUUGUUUUAUUUAUGCCAGCUAUGCUUAGAGUUGUGUCAGGUCUGAUUCAUUGGAAUGAAUCGGAGUGGUGAACAUGUCCUACCGGUAAAGGCUAAGUGUGUGAACACGUUUUGGUAAAGGUAGCGAUGAGAGGCCAUGUAGGAGUACAUGGUGGGUUGUCUCAUUGGAACCGUCCUUAAGCACUGAGUUCUGUGUAUGUUAUCCAAGUCCAGUUACUACCACACAUUGGGUUCCGGUUAUCCGGCCCCUCUCGGCUUAUUAAUCCACUUGAUCUCUGUCCAGGAGUUGUAACUAGUUUCUGGCGUUUGUAAGUAGUGCUACUUGUCUACCAGGUGGUGUCCGACGGGACGGGCUUGGGACAGACUAGGCACCGUGGCACGGUGUACCAAGUGGCACCCGGAUGGUGGGCUUGGGAACCCUGCACACAUCGUUUGGGGCCGUGAGCGACACCCCGGCCGGAUCUCCUUGCGGAUGGAACCCGAAUAGGCGAUAAACCUGGACGAGAGACUGGUCUGGUUAGUCAGGUCGUGGCCAACACCCUCGCCCGGCUUCCGCUUGAAGGUUGUCGAGGUACAUGACGUGUACAGGGCUAUAAGUGGCGAGAGCGUGUGUGAAGAAGUACACCCCUGCAGGGUAAAUAUUAUCUAUUCGAAUAGCCGUUUUCCUCGGAUAUGGAAACUUGGAGGACUUAUGUAGUACAUAGACAACUUGAAGUGGAUACUCUAAAAUCCGCAAGAUAAGCGUGAGUUCUAUGGAUGGCCUUCUCAUAGGAAGACGGGAACGGAUCCAUAGUGGAGUACUAAUAUGGUGAAUAUGUGGACUCGUGUGCGUCUUCUCACCUCAAAAAAGUUUCUGAUACUCGUAGUAUAGGCUAGCCACUGAGUCAAAGUUUAUUAUUGGCAACGGUGCUAGUACGCGUUUCUGGGAGGAUAUGUGGCUCAGAGAGACACCCUUGGCCAUUCAAACUCCAUCUUUAUAUCGUAUUGUUCAACUGCGUGAGGUGUUCGUUGCAACGGUAUUUCAAUCUAUCCCCCUUAAUAUUCAGUUCAGACGGUCGCUAGCGGGCAAUCGUUGGGAAGAAUGGCUCCGUCUAGUUAGGAGACUGAUUGAGGUUCAGCUUUCUCAAUAACCCGAUGAAUUACGCUGGAAGCUGACUAGGUCUGGAGUAUUCACUGUUAAAUCAAUGUAUAUUGAAGUUAUUAAUUCGAGCUCCAUUCCUACCUCCAAGCAUGUUUGGGCUGUCAAGGUUCCUUUAAAAAUAAAAGUGUUUAUGUGGUUUGUCCAUAAAAAAGUUAUUUUAAGAAAGGACAACUUGAUAAAGCGUAAUUGGACAGGAACUACUAGGUGUAGUUUCUGUGAUCGGGAUGAAACGAUUAAACACCUCUUUUUUGAUUGCCCAUUGGCCAAAGUCCUUUGGCGGACAGUUCACAUUGUGUUUAAUAUUACUCCACCGAAUUCUGUCAACACGUUAUUUGGAACAUGGCUUAAUGGAAUUGAGUCUGACUUAGCGAGACAUAUUCGUGUUGGAGUUUGCGCUUUGCUGUGGACUAUCUGGAAUUGCAGAAAUGAUUUGGUUUUUAAUAGAAUAUCACGUAUUCACUUUUUGUAGGUUAUUUUCUGAGCCACGGCAGUGAUCCUUUUGUGGUCGCUACUCAUUCCGAUGGAGGCCAGGGAGCAUUUGGUUACUGGAUCUGUCCAUUGGGAGAUGAUAGCCCGGGAUAUCUUCAACCGGUUUGGAUGGCGGUCAUGUAAUAGGAUAGGCAAUUAGUUUACCUAUCUAUCUUUAGCCAGCCGGUUGUGGCAUCUUUUCUUGGCUAGUCUGUGUAUCUAGCCCAUUUUGGCUCUGUGUGAGCUAUCUUUUCAGUUUUUCCAGUUGGAGACUUUGAAACUUGUUGGAUCUUUUAUUUGGUUAAUAAGAUGGUCGUAUGCAUCUUUCUGAUGCAGAGGCCGGGGCAACCCCCCUUUUCGAAAAAAAUGCGUCAAAUCUAUAUGCGUGUAUGUUAGAGAGACUUUAGUCAAGGAAACCAUGCAUUAAGAGUGCAGCACAAAGGCGCGCUAGACAUGGAGAUGGGAGCAAAAACACCACCAUCGCCACAUUUGGGGCAGGUAUUUAACACAAUACAGUAGCAUCGAUCUGACAAUUUGCUUGUUCUAACGGUGAUUCUGAUCGGUGGGACCUGUUUAUCAUGCCCAUAAUACAAAUCACAAUAACCAAUGAAAGACCUAAUUAAGUGCUAGAAAAUAUAUUAAGCAUGACCCUCUCACUCCUCCAAGUGAUUAGUUCCACAUUAAGAACCAAAAUCUGAUGGUAUAUUUAAUGUAGGCAGUAUGCAUAGUUAUAUUUGCAUAUUCACAAAACAACAAGCCUUGCAAUAAGAAAAUUCUGAUUUUUUAUAUUGGUCAAACGAACUGAAAAAAGGAGGGAGUAGCUCAAAAGCAAACAACAAAGACAACCUUAAGACCAGCCAAGGAGUCGGGGUGCCGGGGAGCAACCUCGCCGACCCUCUUUGGUCAUCGAGGGAACCCAACAACAUGACCCCGAGCUCGGCAUCCCGCUUCAAACCUGCACAGUGAACGUCAAACCUCAGGAGCCUCCAUCGCAUAAUACUUCGACCUUAUCUAAAUAAUGGUAUUGUUCAUUUGUAAAAUCUCCUUUCUUGUUAAGGACAAUCAAGCUCCUCUCAUCUAACUUUUGACUCUUAAUAUGUAAUUUGAACUCAUUCAACUUCAAUUUCAGAAUCGUUGUUUUUUUGGGAAAUCAAAAACCUACAUUAAUUCAUAAGAAGUGAUUGCAAUUCCCCCCAAAAAGGGUGGGUUGGGGUUACAAUAACGCCCCAUAUUACACAUGCCACUCAGGGAGAGGGCACGUAGAGGACCACACCUCGAAGCUCCACUGCCGCCGACCACCAUUGACCAGGACACACUACUAAGCACCAAUUAUGGGAAUGAUACUGGCAAUCCGAAAGAGGGCGAAGACAUCUUUGUCUACUAGCCUCUGGAAAUAGAGGAUCAAAAGCUCACCAAUGCCAUAGAUUUUGUAGAACUGCAUAUGCUAACGAGAGGGGAGCCCCUAGAACGGGAGGUGGCCUCCUUGUGGAAGAUGAAGCAACACCGGAUAAUCGAGCUAACCAGGGCAUCGAGUGAUAUAAAAUUGUGGAAAUGAUGGAAUACAAUAGACAUCAUUUGGGAAUAAUUAUGAAUCUUGUCUUUGUAGUACAUGAGUGAAGGAUUUAGUAACCCAUCUCAUGAUUUCUGUUAAGUUUCUGUGUGAAUGAUUUUUUUCAAGUUUUGGGUGAGAUGUCGAUGGAAGGAGAAUAAUAAGCGGCAAGACCCUAAGCUUGGGGAUGCCCAAAGCUCCCAAAGGUAAUAUCUAAGGAAUAUUCAUGCGUCUAUGCUUGGAGAUGCCUAGAAGGCAUCCCCUCAUUCGUCUUCAACACUAUUGGUAUAUGUUGGGGAUAUAAUUAUGUACGUAAGCCGGCCAGGAGGGGUCGGGUUACGCAAAGAGAAGCCCAUCUGAAGCCCAAGACCAAGAUGUGAAGAUGGCGGUUCAGUAAAGGGUCUAAAGGCCCACAGACGAUUUAGGGCCCAUGGUGAUAAGCCACCAUGAGGGCGCAACUUGUAUUGUAAGGUAGAAAUAACUAGUCACCGAGCCGGACACUGUUUAUGAGCCAGCCGGGACUCUGUAAGCCGUAGGGCGUCAACCCGUGUAUAUAAGGGGACGACCCGCUGGCGGCUUAGGGACAAGAAACAAGAGAUCGAGAACCGGGCAUAGCAUAUCUCGCUCCCUGGUCAUCGAAACCUCAAGCAAUUCCAACCCAACUAGACGCAGGCCUUCCUUCACCAUAAGGGGCUGAACUAGUAUAAACCUCACGUGUCCUUUGUCCUGAUUAACCCCUUUAAGCCUCCUAGUUGCGAUGGCUCCACGAUCAAGUCCUUGCAAGAGGACAUCUGCCGUGACAAUUCCAAGACAGUUGGCGCCCACCGUGGAGCCAGUGCACGAUGAAUUCGAAUUCUUGAAGGGAAGCUUCGAAGGGCUCAAGGGAUACGCAGUUGGCCGGAUGACCAAGAGUCGUCGCGGCAAGAUCUACAUCGACGACGAAGGCUGGGGCCCCGACGCCGGUUAAAUUGAGUACGGCUACCGGGUCCCCUUUGGCGGAAUUCACGUCUUCAUCGACCGGAUUGGUGAGCCGGGCCCUGAGCCGGACAGCUGCACCGACCUCGUCGAGACGGCUCAGCGUGCGAAACCUGCCCGAGCUCAACCUGUCAUGAAGCGUGCCUUUGUGGGUUGCAUCCAUGGAGGUGAACUUCCUGAAGGAUCUGAAGGUGAUGGUGAGCCGGCCAUCCUCUCUGACGAUGAUUCAUCCGCCGGCUCAACAGAUUCGCUGUAUCAAGUUCAAGAUGGCGUGCUUGGGGGCUGUUCCGAUGGCAGCACUAUUCCGGACCUCUCAGAGUCGCCAAACCGGGCAGGAGUCUUCAUGGCUAGUACUCAACCCGGCCAAAAUUCUACGGCUUCAGCGGCGAUAACAUCCGGGUUAGGAGCAGCCAGGGCAGGAGGCCCCGUGCGCUCACCGGCUCAGGUGUUGAUGGAUCUCAUGGAUAAGCUUACGGCUUUGUUAACUGUUACAGUCAUCCCUGCGAACCAAUCUGAGCAUGAGGCUGAGGCGGCACAGCUUUGCGACGAGAUCGCCCGGGUCAAGGAAACCUUAGCAGCUGAGGACGCUAGAUUAGCAGCAGAGCGGGCGGCUUUGGACGUACGGGCGCAGCAACUUCAGGCAGAGGCCUUGCAGCUCACGUUGAGCCUAAACGCAUCUGAUGAGGUAAUGAGGAGGAGACAUCAGAAAACUCAGUCCCGUUUACCUCAGAAUUAUGAUCCUCGAAAUCUCUUUGCUACACCCGAGGCCGGCCCAAGUAACCCGCCAGGUGCGAAUCGGCUUAUUACAUCCAGAGCGGGAGGUCCACUCCGGCCUUAGGGGAUGGCACUACCUCACGGCAAUAUGGCACCACCCAAUUAUGUACCAAUACCGCAGGGUCACUUCUCCAGCCCCAUGGAGAACUUAAUCACAGCAUCAGCACGUUUGGCGGCUCUCCCGGUAGAUGGGGAUGAUCCGACAGCGGUGGAAACCCGGAAGAUCAAAGAACUUGUCCAAACAGCCCUGGCUCAGCAAGAAACCUACUCCUACAGCCGGGAUAGGAUUCACUCGACUCCUCCGCCCUGGUUAGCUCCGCCUCGUCAAAAUCGGAGCCCGAGUUAUAGUAGACACAUAGAGUCAGAGGCCUUGUCAAGUAACGCUCAGCGCCGGAACCAGCCCGGCGGGUAUAACCCGGUUCAAGAUCGGAUACGUCAGGAGGACGAGCGGGCGGCUCAGCUGGCGGCUCAACUAGUAGCCCAACAGAACUCAUCGGCUUACCGGACGACUUCCGUUGAAGCGGGAGUUGCUACUAGAACCGGAGGAGUUCCUUGUCUAGUACUGGCUCUACGUAAUGUACGUCUGCCCAAGGAUUUCAAGGGGCCUCGGAAGGUGCCAAAUUAUACGGCCGAUUUACAGCCUGGGGCAUGGAUUGAAAGUUAUGAGAUGGCUAUGGAGCUGCUAGAGGUUAGUGAUGAGGCGAUGGCUAAAUAUUUCACCAUGAUGCUGGACGAAACCGCCCGUUCUUGGUUAAAGGGUUUGCCACCCAACUCCAUUAGUUCAUGGGCGGAGCUAAAAGCCCGUUUCAUCCAGAACUUCAAAGAUACUUGCAAGCAGUCUAUGUCAAUUGUGGAUCUGACAAAUUGUAAGCAGGAAGAAGGUGAAUCUACGACUCAUUGGGUGCGCCGGGUCAAGGAUAUAAUACAUUCGUCUGACAAGAUGGAUGUCGGCUCAGCAGUUCUCAUGCUGGAGAAGAAUUGCCGCUUUGAGCCUCUAAGACAGAAGCUGGGGCGCCUUAAGCGUGAUUGCAAUGAUAUGGGGACGCUGAUGGCAGCUUUAGUCAAGUAUGCCGAUUCUGAUAGUACCAAGGAUCCCGCGUCUGAUGAGGAAAAGACGUGGAAGGGAAAGAAGAACGGCAAUGGAAAGGGUCAGCGGCAUAACCCGGCGAGUCAAGGAGGCAAUAAGCAUAAGUCGGACAGUAACCCGGAAUUUGUGGCCAAUGCAUAGGGUAACAAUCAGAAGUGCAAAGGAAAGCCACCCCGGUUUGGUGGGUCAGGUCCGUCUCUCGAGCAACUACUCAAUGAACCCUGCCCGAAACACGGCACCCGGGAACGACCAGCGACUCAUUUAUGGAAGGAUUGCGCAAUCAUGAAAGCUUUCAAGAAUUCUAACACAUUUGAUGGCAAUCAAGGCCCAGGCGGCGGUUCAGGAGCCGGCGGCUUUCAUGGCCCGGGCGGUGGUUCAGGAUCUGGUUUUCAAGGAAACCAGGGUGGUUAUAAUCAACAGCAGUCUGGUCAAGGAGGUCAGCAGCAGCAGCAGUCGGGUUAUCAGAGCCAUCCAAAACAGUUAAACAGUGGGCAGUAUCAUGUGUUCACCACAAGUUUGUGUAAACGUGAUCAGAAAGUUCAUAAGAGGGCUGUGAAUUCUGUUGAACCGGCAGUCCCUUGUUACUUGAGGUGGUCAGAACAGCCUAUUGUCUGGAGCAGGGAGGAUCACCCUCCCCGGGUUGAUAAUCCGGGUCAACUGGCCCUAGUGGUGGCACCGCAAGUUGGUGGUUAUAAGUUUACUAAAGUGCUCAUGGAUGGAGGUAGCAGCAUCAACAUCCUCUACUACGAUACCUUUCGGUGCAUGGGCUUAACCGACAAGAAUUUAAAGACUUCCAACACCGUCUUCCAUGAAGUGGUGCCCGGUAAGUCGGCGUAUCCUGUGGGGAAGAUUGAGCUAGAGGUGGCCUUCGGAGACGAGCAUGAUUCUAGGGAGGAAAAGUUAACUUUUGAGGUGGUCAAAAUCAAGAGUCCAUAUCACGCUUUGUUCGCGUGGCCGGCCUAUGCCAAAUUCAUGGCACGGCCGUGUUAUGUGUAUCUACAGCUCAAGAUGCCGGGUUACAAGGGUACCAUCACUGUGCAUGGAAGCCGAAAGGUGGCCCUGGAGUGUGAAGAGGGCGAUGCGGCUUACGCCGAGUCUGUCUGUGCAGCAGAGGAGCUCAAAUUUUAUCAAGAUAACAUUGACUCGGCAGAUAUGACUUCUCUCAAGAAGCCGACUACAGAGCAUGACCCAGCCAUGAAGUUUAAAUUGGCUGCAGAGACUAAGCUUGUUGAUUUCACUCCAGGCGAUUCAUCUAAGCAAUUCAGCAUCAGUGCCAACUUGGAUCCUAAAUAGGAAAGCACGCUCAUCGAGUUCAUCCGUGAGAACCGGGACAUCUUUGCAUGGAAACCUUCUGACAUGCUGGGUGUACCGAGAGAACUCGCUGAGCACACUCUUAAUAUUGAUCCGAAGUAUAAGCCGGUCAGGCAAUUUCUGCGGCGAUUCAAUGAAGAGCAACGAAAAGCUAUAGGAGAAGAGGUCGCCCGGCUCUUGGCGGCUAGGUUUAUUGUUGAAGUUUUUCACCCAGAAUGUUUGGCUAACCCGAUGCUCGUACUCAAGAAAAACGGCACCUAGCGGAUGUGUGUGGAUUACACGGACCUAAAUAAGGCUUGUCCGGCUGAUCCUUUUGCUCUCCCCCGUAUUGAUCAAAUCAUUGAUGCUACGGCAGGUUGUGCAUGUUUGAGUUUUUUGGAUACUUAUUCUGGAUAUCAUCAGAUCAAGAUGGCAGUUAAGGACCAGGAGAAAACGGCUUUCAUCACCCUGUUUGGAGCCUUCUGCUAUGUGUCUAUGCCGUUUGGGCUCAAGAGUGCCCAGGCAACUUAUCAACGGUGUGUACUGAAUUGUCUUCACGAUCAGAUUGGGCGCAAUGUUCAUGCUUAUGUGGAUGACAUAGUAGUGAAAUCCAGAGAGGCGGAAACCUUGAUAUCUGAUCUCAGAGAAACCUUUGACAAUCUCCGGGUUUACAAAAUGAUGCUUAACCCGGAGAAGUGUGUAUCUGGUGUGCCUGCAGGCAAGCUUUUGGGAUUCUUGGUCUCAAACAGGGGCAUCGAGGCUAAUCCAGAGAAGAUUAAGGCAAUCACUUCUUUGGCUAAACCGGCAUGUAUUAAUGAUGUUCAGCGAUUGGCGGGUCGUGUUGCCGCUUUGAGCCGGUUCAUAAGCCGGUUAGGUGAGAAGGCCCUACCGCUGUACUAAUUAAUGAAGAAGGCAGACACCUUUGUCUGGAGUGAUGCCACUAAUGCUGCUUUUGAGGAUUUGAAGAGGCAGUUAUCUGAGCCGCCGGUUCUUGCGGCUCCCAUUGACAAAGAGCCUUUGCUGUUAUAUGUGGCUGCUAAUUCACUAGCCGUCAGUGUGGCGAUUGUGGUAGAGCGCAAGGAGGCUGGUAAGGAACAUUCGGUUCAACAGCCAGUUUAUUAUGUCAGUGAGGUACUCAUCGAGUCAAAGCAAAGAUAUCCUCAUUGGCAUAAACUUGUUUACGGGGUGUUCAUGGCAAGCCGGAAGCUGAAGCAAUACUUCCAAGGUCACCCUAUCACUGUGGUAAGUUCUGCCCCCUUGGGAGACAUUAUUCAGAACAGAGAGGCUACAGGACGAGUCGCCAAAUGGGCCAUCGAUCUCGGGCCUCAUGGUCUGAAGUACGCGCCGCGCACUGCCAUUAAGUCUCAAGCUUUGGUGGAUUUCAUCAACGACUGGACAGAGCUAUAGGCACCUGAGGAGAAGCCCGAUAACACUUAUUGGAUUAUUCACUUUGAUGGAUCCAAACAGUUGGAAGGCUCGGGGGCUGGAGUUGUAUUAACUUCCCCUCGAGGUGACAAAUUUUGUUAUGUGCUCCGGCUUAUGUUUCCUUGCACUAACAAUGCAGCUGAGUAUGAGGCCCUGGUCCUUGGUCUCCGGAUGGCCAAAGAGAUGAACUUGAGCUGGGUAAGAUGCUUAGGAGACUCAGACCUUGUGGCUCAACAGGUGUCAGGCAAGUGGGACUCUAAAGAUCCCCUCAUGGUGGCUUACCGUCGUGAAGUCGAUGCUGUGGCUGGAUAUUUCAAGGGUUACAUAGUGGAACACAUUGAUCGAAGGAAGAAUGAGGCGGCGGAUGCCUUAAGCCGGCUGGGGUCUCAGCGUAAGCCGGUGCCGCCUAACACCUUUCUUGAUGUUUUGCAUAAUCCUUAUGUUAAGUUACCUACAGAAGAAGAUCUGGCAAUACCAGACCCGGAGGCACAGCUGGUGGCGGCUGUCCACGUUACCCCGGAUUGGACAGUGCCUUAUUUGGCUUACAUGACCCGGGGGGAGUUGCCGGAGGACGAGACCUUGGCAAGAGAAAUUGUCCGGCGGUCCAAGUCCAUGACAAUUGUCAAUGGCGAGUUACAUCAUUACAGCGCCACUGGAGUGAUUCAACGUUGCGUGUCACCUGCAGAGGGUCAGGAGAUCCUUCGUGAAAUUCAUGAAGGUGACUGUGGUCAUCACGCCGGCUCAAAAUCUCUUGUGGCCAAAGCCUUCCGUCAUGGGUUUUAUUGGCUGACGGCUCAUGCUGAUGCGGAAGACCUGGUCAGUAAAUGUGACGGAUGUCAGAAAUUCUCACGACGAGCCCAUGUGCCGGCUCAAGAAUUGAGGAUGAUUCCAAUUACCUGGUCGUUUGCAGUCUGGGGGCUUGAUAUGGUCGGGCCUUUCAAGAGAUCUAAGGAUAAAAAGACUCACCUCUUGGUGGCGGUUGACAAAUUCACAAAGUGGGUGGAGGCGGAGCCAGUCAGUAAGUGUGAUGCAGCCACAACAGUCCAGUUUAUGAAAAAGGUGAUUUUUUGCUUUGGUUUUCCACACAGCAUCAUAACUGAUAAUGGUACUAACCUUUCCAAAGGAGCUAUGGAAGAGUUCUGUCAACGAGAGCAUAUCCGGCUUGACGUUUCAGCUGUAGCUCACCCUCAAUCAAAUGGUCAAGCAGAACGAGCCAAUCAAGAAAUCUUGAAGGGUAUCAAGCCCUGGCUCUUGGUCCCUUUACAGCGGACGCCGGGUUGUUGGGUGGAGGAGUUACCUUCUGUACUCUGGAGCAUCAAUACUACACCUAAUAGAUCUACGGGUUACACGCCUUUCUUUAUGGUGUAUGGAGCAGAGGCGGUCCUGCCAAGUGACAUCCGUCACGAUUCACCCCGUGUGGCGGCUUAUGUUGAGGAAGACAAUGAAAAAGCUCGGCAAGAUGCACUUGACCUAUUGGAUGAAGAGCGAGACUUGGCAAUAGCCCGCUCGGCGAUUUACCAGCAAGACCUGCGUCGCUCCACAGCCGCCGGGUUAAGUCUAGAACCUUUCAGGAAGGCGACUUAGUGCUCCGACUCAUCUAGGAUUAAUCUAACAUGCACAAGUUAUCCCCUCCUUGGGAAGGACCCUUUGUGGUCAACAAGAAUCUGAACAAUGGAUCAUACUACCUUAUCGACGUUCGAGAGCACAAAGACUCACGUAAGUCGGAGGAGGAGACCCGUCGGCCGUGGAAUAUCGCUCAUCUUCGGCCUUAUUAUACUUGAGCCGUUGGCUCUAAUGUGUAUAUACUUAUACUAUGUAUAUUAUAUAAAGCAAUAAAGCAAGACCUCUGUCCUUUUUUCCACUCCCAAAAAGGUUUAUGUGUUUUUCCUUGUCAGGUGGUGGAGAUAACCAAAGGGAAGCAGAUCAUAUCUGAAUCCGGCUUUCCUUUGGUCUGGCUUAUGAUCAUAUCUGAAUCUAGCCGUUGAUCACUUGGGGGCUUCCUGUUCAAACAUAGGUCGUAUUCGAACCAAAGAGAACAUAGCUAUCGAUACCCACUUGAUCGGCAUACUGCCAAACCCACUUGGGGGCUUCUUGAUCAUAUCUGAAUCAUGGCUUAACUCCUUUUGGGUCUGACGUGGAUCGUAUUCGAAUCAGCAUCAUUAAACAACUCUUAUGGUCACUUGGGGGCUUCCUGUUCAAACAUAGGUCAUAUUCAAACCAAAGAGAACAUAGUUGUCGAUACCCACUUGAUUGGCAUCGCCACAGCCACCGGGGGCUAACAGAUCGUAUCCGAAUCUUAGCUCAACCCCUUUGGAACGGGUCACUGAUCAUAUUCGAAUCAGAAACCCUUGAAUUUUGUUCAUCAUAUUUUACAAGUACCAACAUUAGGUAUCUUGUGACCCUCUUGAAGGUACAAUGGAAUACAUUACAAUCUUCCAGAAUUAAUGUUAGUUACAUCAGGUUGUUAAGAACCAGGUGGACUUAUAUGUGCCAAUUUUCAGGAGUUAAGUUUACCCUCAGGGGUUGGUUUAUAUAAGCCGGAAAAAACAGCUGUGAGCACUACAGGGCAAUGCAGGGUAUUUUUGCAAAGGACAUAACAGAUUCAUACAAACUACAAAGAGAAUAAUGGCGGCGGCUUAUGCAAGUAUUAAGGGCCAUAAGCAUGCGCAAAGGCAUAGCAAAACUCAAGGUAUCUUCAAAUUUGUUACAAGACUCCCCGAGUCUGAAUGAUGCAUUGUUUUCUACGAUGACAUAAGCAGGUGGCGCCUGACAAGCUACUCUUGGGGUUGACUUGAAGCCUCCGGGUUAUCCUUCUCCGUCUCUCUGCCGGCUGCUUUGUCCUGGAAGGAUGAUGAGGCCCAGUCAAUGCCACUCAAGGCUUCAAACUCAGCUUCAUCAUCUAUUAAACUGGUUGGGUCGACUUCAGGAGCAAAGGUGUGCUUACGGGUUGGAGGGAUCAAGCUGACAUCGUCAUAAUACGGCAUGGGGAUUCUCUGAUUCUCCUUGUCAUAACCCGGCUGACACUUGGUGAGGUCAGUAUCGUUCCCAAUAAGAGUAGCCACCGGACGUAUAUCCUUCACACAGGCGGUGAAAUUCUUAUCAUUAAACACGGUGUCAUCUUCCUUUAAACUUGGAUACCCAAGAGCAAUAUCAGCGGGGUCUAGUUCUGGAAGCCACGCCUUGGCCCAGCUCAAUGCGGCUAUAGCUCCGGCUCUUGUAGAUGCUCGUCUUAACUCUUGGAUUUGCUGAGGUAGCACAGCAAGCCGCUUCAGCACAUCUUGCAGGAGAUAAGGAACAUCGUUUGAUAAAGCCACAACGGCCAAAGCACAUUGUGACCCAGUGUAGAGUUGUUCCACCAGAGUAUAAACCGCCUUCAGCUUGAUCACCAUGUUCUGCUUAAGAUUUGUGCUCCUGGGGCCUACGUUAUUAAGCAUAAGGUGAGUCAGACGAGACAACUGAAAUGGUCAUUCAAGGAGUUUUGCAGUGUUUAAGGUUUGAGUAAGUCACUCACCGAAGAUUGCUGAAACCAUUCGAGAUAUCUGGCGCUCUAAGUCGGACAGUUCGGUUGUUGCUUCCGCAAGCGAUGCCUCUGCUGUCUCGGCCCGGGUCACCAGUGCGGCCUUUUCAUCAGCCCAAAUUUUCUUCUCCGAUUCAAAAUUUUGCUUCAACUUCUCUUGUUCAGAGACGCUGAAUUCAUAUUUGGAGUUGGCCUUUUCAAUUUCACUUUCCUGGGUUGCCAGGCGAUUCUUCAAAUCAGCAAUCUCCGAUUCAAAUUUACUUAUGGUAGCCUGCAUUGUACCGGAUAGUAGUAAAAGUUACGGUAAGUACUAUUAAGUCCCAAGCACUUUGCAAGCAAAGAUACUUGACACUUGGGGACUAAUGUAUACCGAAGCUUUCUAAAUUAUUAAGCCGGUCCUGGAUAUUAAGUCCCAAAUACCUUGCAAGCAAAGAUUUUUGGCACUUGGGGGCUAAUGUAUAUCGCAAGUUAAAGGUAUUGUGUUACAUCCGGUUCAAUUAUUUUUUCUUUAAGCCGGGCAAGUAGCUCUAACAAUUUUUCUAAGUCUACGGCAUAUUUAUUCAUAAGCAAUAGACUUGGGGGCUGGUACAGUAAGUAUGAUUGAAAGUAAGCUAGCAUAAGUCAUACCUCAGAUUUUUGCUGUAUCUACUUCACCAUGUCAAUUUCCAGGUCACAGCUGCUUUGUACUUGAUUGAUAUAGCCGGAGACAAUCUCUCCAAUACUCAAAUGAGUAUAGUCAGCGACGUCCAGCUUGGCCCUCCGGCGUUCCACCAAUUCCUCUUUAGAACACUUGGCAAGUACAGACGGUUGUGCCGGCUCAACAAACUGAGUUUUGAGAAUUUCAACUUCCUGAUCAUUUGCCUUGGCGGGGAUAGGAGCCUCCGGGUUACCAGAAUCGUUGAAGGUUUGUUCAGUAGGCGGGUUAGAGGAAGAUAUAGGAACAUCAUGAGACGGUUGAGGCGGCGGCUCGUGAGCAGAGGCAUCAGGAGCAGCUGUGCCCAUCUCUGGUUCAGUCACAACCGGCUCUUGGGGCGGCUUAUUCUUUUUUUCCCUUUUGCUGGGCUUUACUUGCACAUUGUGGAAAAGGUAGACAGGUUAAAUACAGCAAAUAUGAGUAAAAUAAAGCAUAAGGUACAAAAAGUUUAUAUUACCCGGGAGCAGUUUUGAAAGCUGGCAUGUUGGACUGCAUAGACUCACUGGAGGAAGGUGAAAUAUCCUGAUAGUUGGAGCCAGAAUAAUUGAGAGGCUAACAAAUGAAACCCGCCAAAGGAAAAAGAAGGUGUAAAUCGGAGAUAACCUCAGUCUGGCGUUUCCUGGUCACAUCAGGUAAGCCGGGGGAGAGUUCCGCAUCUUUGUUGGUCCGGGUCUGCCUCCGGCUCUCAUAAAUCUGUCGCUUCAAAAGAAAGUCAGGAUCUUGGUAAGCCAAAGGAUGUGAAAAUCUUACUUUCCGGGUUACUCUUCGAAUUUUCCGACGCGGCCGAAGCUCGGAGUCGGAGGAGAUUACAAUUACCUCUUCCUCGACGGGUUGGCUGUUGCCCGUGUCUUCCUGAAAGAAGGUUAGCAUCAGUAAGGUAGAAAUAAAGGAGAAAGGGAAAUUCAAUGGUUACCUCUUCCUCGUUAUCAUCAGUAUCAUCAAGCUGAAACAGCUCAGAGGCGCUUGGCUUCCUUUUCCUUGAGGUGGUGGGCUUGGUGGUUUUCUUUUCGGCUCUCUUAGCCGCCCUGGCUUUCUUGGCCGCCUCAUGAUCAUAUUGCGUGUUCCAGAAGCCAGCAUUUGCCUGUAAAAGGUUAUAACUGGUUAUGCGUAAGAAUACAGCCUAACAUGAUAAGACAUAACCCGAUGGCUGGAAACUUACUGCAGGGGUCGGGUUCUUCUGGCAAAAAGGUAGUAAGCUGAAGGCGUUACUAUUCACUGUGCCCUCCUUCAACAAGGACUGAGUUGUAGCUUCCACUACGUCAUCUGGUAAGUCGUCAGGGUUAUGAUGUUGAGGGUCAUCCUUCUCGCCUGAAUAAUUACACAUUAAGCCAGGGCGGCGGCUUAACGAAUUAUUCUCCAAGCAAUCCAGACUCGGACCAAGUCAAUGCCAUCUAAGCCAUUCCCUAAAAGAGCUUUAAUCCUCUUGAUUUUGGGGGUGAGUGGCAGGCGUUCAAUAGCUGUCAACUUAUCCGGCAGCGGGUGAGUGGGUUCAAGGCGCAAUGCGCGGAAGCCGGGCAGUGGAUUUUUGCCAGCCGGAGAAGUAUCUUGGCAGUAGAACCAUGUCUGGUUCCAGUCCUUUGGAUGACUCGGCAAUUCAGCAUAAGGGAACAGGCAGUCUCUCCGCCUUUGAAUUGAUAUGCCACCAAGCUCCAGACUGGGCCCGUUGGCCCGUUCAUUCUGCCGGUUCAAAUAGAACAAUUCCCUGAACAGAAGUAGGCUGGGUUCUUCUCCAAGGUAGACCUCACAGAAAACUUGAAAGUUGCAGAUAUUUGACACGGAGUUGGGCCCGAUGUCUUGAGGUCUUGAGUCAAAGAAGUCCAAAACGUCUCUAAAGAAUUUUGAACCGGGAGGAGCAAAUCCCCGGCUCAUGUGAUCGGUAAAAAUGAUCACCUCCCCUUCCUUGGGUUGAGGUUUCUCUUCAGACGGGUCAGGAGCACGAUAAGACAUGACAUCCUUCUUGGGCAGAUGGCCGGACUUCAUAAACUCUGACAGUUUGCUCUCCGUAACAAUGGAUGGGACCCAGUUGCAGGUAAUUGGAGGUUUAACAGCUUUGAGUGCCAUUGGGUAAAUUGAAGCCUACAACAAGAUAAAGGAAAUUUUCCGGUUUAUUAUAACCCAGAGAAUAAGCAUUAUUGGGUUGUCUGAGAUGGCGGCUUAAGUAGGGGCCUAAUGACAUACAGGUAGUUAUGUGAUAAUGUUUAAACAACUGCAGGUAUUAAAGAUGAUGAAAAUUGUCUUAAGUCGCCAAAAGCAGGCAGUGCUGACAGUCAGUAUUAUCUUAAACCGAUCAUAUGAACUACUAUGGCUGAAACAGAGUCAACAGACGCAGGUUUUGGUUAAGUGUAGAACAAACAGGUUUCACAAGUUGCAAUCAUUUUUUUGGAUCAAACGAUGCUCUGGAAAGGAAAAAAUUCUAGACCUAAAGCAGUACAGGGAAGUUCAUAUACUCGAGGAGGGCUUCCAAAAACAAGGAAAUGAGAUCUGUUUUCAUACAGAAUGAGCACAAAACAUCCUCCACGGCAGUUCUAUGUUAUUUUUACGAUAUGAGCAAGGGAUUAGAGGUGAGAGUUAAUGGAGGUUUGCAUCGGGCGGCGGUAAACGUCGACGAACUAAAAAACAGUACCAAUGCAGAUCUGAGAAAGGGGAUAAAAAGAACUCACAGAUGCGGACGAGCUGCGGAGGGUCGCCGUCGUUUUCUGGUCCGAACCAGGGUGAUGCAGCGGCCUAAGUCGAUGAAGACGAGGGGUUCGACGGCGGCGGCAGCAGAGCUUGAGCAGCGAAGAAAGGAGGUGCGAGGAAGAAGACGACUGAAGAAGGAGAAUGGGAAAGGACCUAGGUCGCGCCUAUUUAUAAGGAAGGACCGACCAAGACGGUGCAAAAAACGAGGAGACCAAAGCAUCAUUAUCCAACGGCCCUGACGCCUCGAUUCUCGGGAUGGUCAGUAAAGGCAAAGAUUCGUUGGAGGACAUGAUGGACUAAAAUAUGAAAUUUAUUGAAGAUGACGUCACAGAGAUUUGACCCGGAUCCAGAUGAUGACGUCACGGCGGGUUAGAAUUUCCGCACAAAACCGAGGACUAAGGGCUAGUUUAUAAGGUUUUUUAAGAUUGACAUAAACCGGUUCAAAUCAAUCUGGGGCCUAAUGUUGGGGAUAUAAUUAUGUACGUAAGCCGGCCAGGAGGGGCCGGGUUACGCAAAGAGAAGCCCAUCUGAAGCCCAAGACCAAGAUGUGAAGAUGGCGGUUCAGUAAAGGGUCUAAAGGCCCACAGACGAUUUAGGGCCCAUGGUGAUAAGCCACCAUGAGGGCGCAACUUGUAUUGUAAGAUAGAAAUAACUAGUCACCGAGCCGGAAACUGUUUAUGAGCCGGCCGGGACUCUGUAAGCCGUAGGGUGUCAACCCGUGUAUAGAAGGAGACGACCCGCUGGCGGCUUAGGGACAAGAAACAAGAGAUUGAGAACCGGGCAUAGCGUAUCUCGCUCCCUGGUCAUCAAAACCUCAAGCAAUUCCAACCCAACUAGACGUAGGCCUUCCUUCACCGUAAGGGGCUGAACUAGUAUAAACCUCGCGUGUCCUUUGUCCCGAUUAACCCCUUUAAGCUUCCUAGUUGCGAUGGCUCCACGAUCAAGUCCUUGCAAGAGGACAUCUGCCGUGACAAUUCCACGACAGUAUACCUCACUCGAAGCUAUAUUUUUGUUCUUCACUUAAUAUAUGUUUUUCUUGGAAUGUAUUUUUAUUUUGUUUGCUGUUUGAUACAAUCCUUAGAUCUGGAAAUUUUGUUUUGGAGAGAGUUUAUACAUAGCUACCUAAUUAAUUAACUACUAUUUGUUCUUCACUUCUAACUUUUGGAGUAGUUUAUUGUUUAUUCUUGUGCUCCAAUUAUAUCUUUGGAGUAAGAAAUUUAUGAAUGAACUGAAUGUUAGGUGCUUCGCUUAUUAUAUGUAUGUUGAGAAGUAAACAUGCAUCCUCUGUUUAAUCCAUUAAAGAGUGAGACUAUGAUAUUACAUAUCUUUAAUCAAGUAAGGGAGUUGUAUUAUAAUGACAAUGACCAUUUGUUUAUUAAAACCUAUUAUGUUGUGGUGAUAAGUAUCUUUCAGUGAAGGACGGAUGAUAGACUUGGCACAUGUUUACACAUGUUUGAUAAAUUCCAAAUUCAGCCUUGGUGUUGUUUAAGUUUGUAUGUUAUCAUCAUGAUUAUAUUUUCUCAAUAAUGUUACUAUUAGAGAAUGCAUGAUUGCGGUUCUUGUUCUUAGUAAAGUGGUCGCCCUCAAUCUUUUGCUAGCCUUUUCCUGUACUAAGCGGAAAUAAUGUUUGUGCAUCCAAAAUCCUUGAAACAAGUUCAUGACACAAAAUGUCCACCAUACCUACCUAUAGAUGGCAUUUCACUGCCAUUCCAAGUAAAUUUGCAUGUGCCACCUCUAAAUCUUCAAAUAAACUUCUGUUUUGUGUGUCUGUACAGCUCAUGGAGUGACAGAGGUAGUCCAUAUAUCCCCAUUCUAAAUGUGUUUUAUGCACGAGGAGAGUUUAUUCGCUUGUCAAAUUUAUUAGAAAGGAUGGUAUUAGGCAUGCCCAGUCCCAAUAAAAUAAUAUUGAAAAAAGGACAAUCCUGAAAAAGUUAGAAGUUGGCACGCACACAUGGAUUCGGCUAGCCAUGGUUUGUGUUAGUAAGGUGGAGGGGGAGUGUAAAAGCAUGAGAACCGUCAUUAAUGUGUUUAUCAUGGAAGAUAUUGGAAACCUUUGCCAUUAAAACGCUGACAGAAGAAAUACACGUCUCAAAAUAAAUUUAUAUCUCUCUUAAACCAAGUGAGCUCUGACAUAUGUUAAUUACUGCUUCCCUCCGUGAAUGGCAUAUCUGUUUACUUUUCAUGUUGAGUCAAUUUCAUCUUUCUUUAUUUUGGCACCACGUGUUGAGCAUGGGGAUCACUCUUAGCUUUGCAUGCAUUUUCUCAUAGCAAUUUGUUAAGCAUUGUAUACAUAUGAUGGUUAUCUUCAAAUUCGGGUACCUAGUCAUCAUCUGUCAUUCAUUGAUUGCUUUAUGUUUGCAAUAUAGUCUUGAAAGAUUGCGAGAUACUUCAUUACCACUUCAUAAUAUGUUGAACUUAAUGAAGAGAUGCUACUUGUUAUCAGAAUUAUCAUUACCUAUGUGAUCAAUGGAGAAGACAAGACUUGAAGAUGACGACCAUUGCAACAACUUAAUUGGAGGUGGUUUACGACUUUGACUCAUGAACGCAAUUAAUCAGGAGCCUUCUGAGGCCCCAUCAACCAGGACUUCACUGUCGCCCAAGUCAUAUUGGCCGCGCUAGUAGGCCACGGAGCGCUUAUGUAGUGGGAUCAUGUAAUUUGUUUCUUCGAUGAGAGAUUAAUAAAGUACAAAUUUUCCUAUAUCUAUUUGUGUACUUAGUACAAUGGCACACAUGCAAUGUUCAUUUCCCCUGGUGCGUAGAGAGAUAAUAACAUAACAAUCAUGUUAUUUUUAUUAUUUCUUGUGUUAAACACCUUCAUAAAAUGCAAACAUCAUAGGCCAAAAUAAUACUCUUUGUGAUGAGUCUAUCAUACACAAAGGCAGAUGGAUCCUCCGAUGUGAUGUCAGGCAAUAUCAACCUCCAACGGCUGGCCAAAACUUGAAAGCAAUUUUAUACAGAACAUUGCACAAGCUUAUAGGAUGGAACAGAAAGAGUUAAAGUUUAUUUUGUACCUUUGGUAGUAAAAGUCAUGGAUGCAUUCCGCCCUCUCUUCCCCACAAAAUUUUUCAACACCGUUUUAGUAAUUGCCUAACCACAUAUACAUCUUAAUGGUGUUGGAAAAAAUGAGCAGGAUACCCACCCAGACAGCGCCUUAGUGGGGAAGAUUUGAAAAAAAAAGACAUUUUUACCUCACUAAGAGAGUAAAUUGCGGCUAGAAUCUCAUAUAUAGCCGGAGUCACCUUUCUGAGGACGUUGGAGAGGACCUCACGUAUCCCGACAACCCGCUUGGUUGUGUAGAGGUUCUUGUAAAAUCUAACGUCAUAAGCAUCAUCACUUCCUGCCAUCAGUCAACAGCCCACUUAGUUAUGCAGUUCCAACUAGUAUAUGCACUUCAAACUAAAUAAUUUGAAAUCUAAUACCUUUUGAUGAAACAAAAAUCAAGGAUGUGACUGAGAUUUCAAAAAAUAAAUUAAAAUUCAUAACCAAACCAGGCAACACUUUUUUUUCCCGAGGGAACACCAUCAUAACUGCCUUUAUUUCAUGUCAAAAAUAGAUACAUCAUCCACGACCAAGCUACGGAGGAAUACCGCUAGCCCUACUAGCUAGCUCAUGAGCCGUACGGUUAGUUUCCCGCGCACAAUGCUUAAUAAAAGACUAAAGUUAUUACAAAUAUCUGAUCAAUCAUUAAGAAUAGGGAUCGCUAUUAAAUUGACAAACCCUCGCUACAUUUCAUCCACAAGCUUCGCACAACCCAACCCGAAUGAACCAGAAGAUAAUGAACGCCCAACAAAGCAUCCAUAGUUAUUCCGACAUAGUUAAACUCUUAUUUCUCUUGGAAGAAAUUCGGCAACCAAGUUUAACAUUUCAUCCGGUGGCUCGAAUCGGGCACUCACUAUUUUCGCAUACCCGCUAGAACCCGAAUCCACUAGCAGAAAUGGGUUAGAGCUGAACCCGGAAGGGAAGCGGGACAGCUGGCCGCAAAACCCCCUCCCCUGUUCCUCGCUAAUCCCCAUUUCCCACAAACCCCCCGUCCCCUCGCUGCGCAAGCGCAACCCAACCACUCCGCCUCCUCCCAGGGCGAGAAGCUUCCAGGAGCAGCUAGGGUUUCUCGUACCGAUCGAUGGCGCUGGCCGUCGUCGUGGUGCUGCCCUCGCUGCCGCCGCCCCCACCGCCGCCGCCGGAGCAGAUCGUCGUCGCGGUGCUGCCCUCGCCGCCACCGCCGCCCCCGCCGGCGCGGGUCGUCGUCGUGGUGCCGGCGCGCGUGCGCCUCCCCGGCGUCCUCCGCGUCGCGGCCUUAGCCCUCAUCUACCUGGGCUUCGCGGUUGCGUGGGUCAUGGCCGCGGCCACGGCUGCAGAGGUCGUCGCGCGCCGCGCCUGGGGCGAGGGCUCCGCGCCAGUCCUGUUCCUCCAGGCGGUCAUGUACGGGGCCGUCAAGGUUUGCGUCUGCAUCAUCCUUGCGUUUUUCGCGCUUGUCGUCCUGCUGCUGUGCGCCCAGUGCGUGACCUACGUGAUUGCACCUGUAUCUGGAUCCACUUCGGGAUUCAAGAAGGUAUGGCGCAAAUUAACUUCAUGUGAUCUUUAUUCCGGUCGAAUUGCAGCUGUACAUAUACUCCCUGUUAUUUAUGUUCGAACUGCAGCUGUACAUAUACUCCCCGUUAUCAUUAUGUUCUAAUUAAGUGGUCUAAUUAAUUUUCGUAGUUCAGGCUGUCCUGAUGCUGAGUAGUAGUAGUAGUUUUUUUUCAUUUGUGUUCAUCACUUCGUUUGCAACCUACCAUUUCCGAACCAUUCCAUAUUUAAUGUUCAUCCGUAUGGUUUUGUUGAAAUUGUUGUCCUCCUCAGAGCACCUUCGGAGCAAUCAGGCCAGAAUUCACUGCACACUUUUUUAGGCUUCUGCGCCCAGCGGUGCUUGGAUUUGUCGUGGAUUUGGCCUUCGUCCUGCUAGCGGUCGCUGGUCUUCUGGUAGAGAUGAUGUCGCCACAUGUGAAGGGAUCGAUAUCUCAGGGGGAAAUGGUCGGUUCUGUAAUCGAGGAUGUGGGGAUAUUUGGUAUGCACGCGACAGUUUGCUUUCUUAUCAUCCCAGCUCUCGUUCUCAGUGUUUGGAGGGAGUGCUAGGCGGACAGGAACGCACCAUCGCAGCUCUGUUGAGGUAUAUAUAUACCUCCCCCUUUUGCUUUGCUCCCCUGUAUCUGUGAGCCAUAUGAUCUUUCUCAAUUAUAAUCUGCAUAUUUUGUGUAGCCUCUUAAUAGCACGAAAACAAUCAGUGUUGUUAGUUUGCCAUCAUUUAUCUUAUCUUAGUGACUAUUGGUGUUGAUAUUUCUUAAGAUGGAGCAUUGUUCCAUAUAAAACCAAUGAUCAUUUUGCUAUUUCCUCUGGUCAUUGCCUAUUACCAUUCAUGAUGAAAUUGGGAUUGACAUCGAUCUUAAAUUGUGCAAGGUGCCAAUUGUUGCAGUUCUACACUUCUACUGUAUGCCUUUGUUACGAAGUGAUGAUCAUUAUUCAUUAAAAUGAUCGAUAUUCCACAUAUUAGAAAAAAGUAAUAUUAACUGUUUAUGCUCCAUGGUCCCCUGUGAUUGUUGUAUCAUUGCAGCGAGUGAGAUUAUAACAAUGUUUGCAUGCUUCUAAACUGCUUGCAAGCACCUUCUUUGAGAAUUCUUGUCAGUGAUAAUUUCCCCCAUUGAAACCAAUGGGAAGACCCAAAGUUUACAAGUCUUGGCUAUGGCGUAUGAGUCUACUCUUCUUAGCUGCAUUUGGCAAUUAUGACUUUGUGCCAUGUUUCGUGACUCUGGUAAAAAGAAGUAAACUAUUUGAUCAUGUAAAUAAAUAGCAUGACGGUAAAACGACACACCUCUAGUCCUUUUAACAAUGACCCGCUAUGCCCAGUACAUUUUAGUAGAAUUGCCAUUGUGCCUUUGUCCGCUGUUCUGUGACUCAGUUUAGUGCUUUUAUACUUUAGUAAAAGAAAGUAAACUGUUUAAUCAUGUACAUAAAUAACAUGACAGUAAAUGUAUGCACGUCUAGUACUUUAAGGUGGUGGUAUGCCACUACAUUUUGAUAGACGUCUCUUUGAGAACAGUUAAUAUCUGGUGUUGGAAGUUCGUGUCAUCAGUUGUGUGUUUGUUAGCACUACCAAUUGAAAGGAUGAGAAAGAUUCGAAUUAUGUAAUAUCUCACAACAUAGAAGUUACCCCCCUGUGUAAACUAAUAUAUGACUUUUUAUAUCAGUAAAGUAGUGAUAGUGAUCUAAAAUGUCUUGUAUUAGUUUAGUGAUAUAAAAAGUCUUAUAUUAGUUUACAGAGGCAGUACUUCAUUGCUGGAAAAUGAGUGGCAUUGCCUUUAGAUUUAUACUACUUGAAACUAAACUGUUGGAUGGUUAAUGUUGAUAUGACGAUGUUCUUAUAUGUGGUAAUAUGAUCAAAUUCUGGUUUGGGUUAUUGGCAGAUGAAGCUAAGAAGAGAAGGUGUCUGGAGAAUUUUGCAAGGAGCUACAGUACCCAUUCAGCUGAUGGUUGUGAGUGAUCCCAGCAGAUACAAGUGUUCAGUGGAAAAACAGAGUUUUUGCAGACUUGCUUCUUUCUGUUAGUAGAUCCUAAUCGUCGAUAGCCGUGAAAACUUUUGAAGACGUGCUUCUUUCUGCUAUUACUAGAUCCUAAUCAUCAAUAGCCAUGAAGUUUCUUCGGUCAUUAUGAGUCAGGUGGUGAUAUUCGGUACUCCUCCGCGCUACUUGCUUACAAGUUUGCACUAGAGUAUUGGUGUAUAUAUGAUGGUGGAAUUGAUUCGUGAUCUUUGUAAUACCCUAUUGGAAGAAAAUGCUUCCAUGAGACAUUAAUCUCGUGAAUUCAUUGCCGUCGGUUUGCGUUCUUUCAUGUUGUAUGCACGAUAGUAAUG